UGAACCCUCAUCUAGAGCUUUUCUCUUUGAAAACCUAUUGUUGCUAGUAGUCCCUACUGCUACAAUAUGUUCUUCAAAGGGGAUGAUACCUCUAGAAACCAUCAAGAGAGAUAUAACUACCUUGGGGAUUAUUGCUAAAAGCCUAGUUAGUUCUCUCCCUUAUAGGUCCCUUAAAUAGGGGCACGAAGCAAACACGCUGCGUGCCAUUUUUCACACUGCCAUGCAUGAGUAUCAUAUACCCUUUUGCUUAUGUUCAGUAAAUAUUGUCAUACUGUGCACAUUCCCGCAUUGUGUCUUUUGCAUAGGCAUUGCAUAUGGGUUCUGUCUUGAUCCCUACUGUAAACAAACCAACGGAGGGUCCGUGUCGCCUUCUUAAAAACGUGCGUUGGGGCAUUUCGUUGCCCCUAGACGCCGUAUCUAAGAAGGGGACAAAUUCCCCGGACCCCCGCAUUCCUAGAUUGCAUCUGUGUCAUAUGCAUUCCGUCAUGCAUUCAUCCAUCCCACCCAUGAGAUAUCGGAGUUUUGAUUUGCACCAGCUUUUAUCUCACUUUGGUAAGCAUGGGAACAAAUCAAACCGGCAAGAGGUUCUACCAAGUCAAGGUCAAAAGCCUAGAUACCACCAGCAUCAAGGAAUUAGGGCGGUUGAUGGAACCCCUCCAAAUGCAAACCUUCCGCAAGACUUACGGAAAGAUCUUAGAGUUGACCAUAGCAGAGGUGUCCAUAGAAGCCAUUGUAUCACUUACCCAAUACUACGACCAGCCUUUGAGGUGCUUCACAUUCGGAGACUUCCAAUUAGUACCAACCAUUGAAGAAUUUGAGGAAAUUCUAGGAUGUCCCCUCGGGGGAAGAAAACCAUAUCUUUCCUCCGGGUGUCUCCCCUCUUUGAGCAGAAUUGCAACUGUGGUCAAGGAUUCAGCAAGAGGUUUGGACCGCAUAAAACAGAUUCGGAACGGCAUAGCGGGCCUACCACAGAAGUACCUAGAAGACAAGGCGAGGGGUAUGGCCCAUCAAGGAGACUGGAUCCCGUUUAUGGAUGUGCUAGCUUUGCUAAUUUUUGGGGUCGUCCUCUUUCCAAACGUGGAUGGUUUGGUAGACCUAGCAGCAAUCGACGCUUUCCUUGCCUACCACCAUAGCAAGGAAAGUCCGGUGGUAGCUGUCUUGGCAGAUCUAUUUGACACGUUUGACCGAAGGUGCGAAAAGAGUAGCGCACGGACCAUCUGUUGCUUACCCGCUCUCUGUGUUUGGUUGGUUUCGCACUUGUUCCAACAAGACACAAGACAUCCAUGUCCGCUCCUGAGCCAUCGCUCGUGUACUGAAAAGAGGAGAAUAGAUUGGGACCGGCUCUUGGCCGGGAUAGGAGGUAGAACAAUCAGUUGGUUCCCCCGAUGGAAGGAAGGAAAAGGAGUCCUUUUUCUCAUGUGGAAGAUACCCAAACAUUCCGCUGGUAGGAACGAGGGGUUGUAUUAACUACAAUCCCGCGCUCGCUAUAAGACAACUAGGGUACCCCAUGAGGGGAGCACCGACGGAAGAAAGCAUGUCUCCUUUCCUUGUGAGGGAUUUCGGCGCACAAAAUUCCAAGACUAUACAAAGAGUCCAUAAGGCAUGGGAAACCCCGUUAAGGAAAGAUCAAGAGCUUAGAGGCAUUCGUAAUGGCAUCAUUGGUGGGUACCACGAAUGGCUGAAAGUUCAUAUACGAGGUUUAGAUUGGCUCGCCAAGUUAAAAGUCGUCAGCGAAGAGAAUUUUGAAGCACCGGAAGAAGACAAAGAAGUCCAAGCUCUCAAAAGCGAGUUAGGAAAGGCAAAACUUGCCAAGGAGAAGUUCAAGUUGGCCGCUACACACGUUCGGAAGGAGUGUGCCGGGUUACGGGAAGAGAGUGCAAUUACCGCAAGAGCCCUUGAACAAGAGACCAAGAUGGCUCGCAAGGAAGAGUAUGGCCGGAACAAAUUUCGCGGAGCUCUAUGGGGUGGCAAUAGUGAACUCAAGUUGCGAAGGGAAGAAAGGGACCAGUCGCGAGCACAUGGCAUGGUUUUGAAAGAGGAGUUAGUUGCCUGUUCAAGGUCCAAAAGAAGCUUGUCUCAGCGUUUAUGCGAGACGGAGACCAACAUGCUAGCUAUCAUCGCCAAGUACCAAGAAGAGUUAGGUCUAGCCGCGGCCCACGAGCAUAGGAUUGCGGACGAAUAUGCCCAAGUAUACGCGGAAAAAGAGGCUAGAGGAAGGGUGAUCGACUCUUUACACCAAGAGGCAACCAUGUGGAUGGAUCGGUUUGCUCUUACCUUGAACGGGAGUCAAGAACUUCCCCGAUUGUUAGCCAAGGCCAAGGCGAUGGCAGACACCUACUCCGCCCCCGAAGAGAUUCAUGGGCUUCUCGGCUAUUGUCAGCAUAUGAUAGACUUAAUGGCCCACAUAAUUAGAAAUCGUUAGGAAACUUGUAUGGUCUCUCAGACCUUGACUAGAUACGACUUCCUUUUUGAAAUAAAAUGAGUUGGUCCCAUGUUUCUACUCCAAAAAGCUUAUGCAAAUCAAGUCACUCCCGCAUUUUAUCUCUAGCAUGCAUUGUAUGUUGGUCUCGUCCUUUGUCACGGGAAGCCGGAAGGUCCAUAUCACCUUCUUAAUUGUACACAUGGGGCACUGCGCCCCCAAAUGCGCAAGUAAGAAGAGAUAAUUUUCCGGGCUCUCGUGUCCGUAAAAUGCAUUCAUAUCAUGCAUCGCAUAAGCAUCUCUUCAUAACAUCAUAAUGGACAUAUCCUGCAUUUGUCCGUUAUCAUAUUCCAGCCUCACAUUUUGCAUGAGUCAUGGCAUCAUCAUGCAUAUGCGUUCAACAAACUUUUUGAUCUGCAAAAUUGCAUACCAUUUGUUUUCAUGUUUGCUCAUCCUUGCGUUUUCCUCUACAAAACAAAAACAAAAAAGGGGGAAGCGUGAAACUUCACACUACAUUCUUAGUUUCAUGUGUUAGGCACCACGAGCCAACCAUGUUGGGAUCAUAAACCCGUUUCACUUUAAAAAAUAAUUGAACAUGGUACCUAAUGCAUGGUUAACUAGGAAAUGGUGUUUCUUCGGGCAUCUCAAUUUCAUAAUUACAUUUUCCGUGCAUAAGCUUAAAGUAUGCCCGAGUCAUUCAUCCCUAUGAGAUGUUGUCGAAGUAUUGGCGAUCAGAAUUGCCAUUCCUUGGAUUAUAGGGUUGAACCAAGCUCAUGCUUUUUCGAAAAAAGUUCAUCAAAUCAAGUUGAAGAAUGGAAGUAACUAUCUUGCAAAAAUUGGGGCAAAAGAUGAAUCGAGUCACAUCACUGCUUCGUCUACUGCCAAACAUAUUUAGGAUUGUUGAUGUCCUUGUUACUUCCAGUUUCACCUUGACAAAGAUGUCAUAGACCAUGUGGAAAAUCUAAAUUGAUUCAACCCCAUACCCUGCACAAUACUUCAACUGUACAUCAUUCGCAUACAUCCAUGCUUUUCAUUGGUUGCAUUGCUCAUUGCAUUCUUUCCUUGAAAAAGAAAAUAAAAAUAAAUAAAUAAAUAAAAUAAAAUAAAAAUGAUCUUAAUCAUUGUUAUCAAAAAGAAAAGGACACGCUUUACGGCGCCCUUACCGAACUCGUGCUAGAGCUAGAGUAAUGGGUGAAGCAGAGGAGGUGCAAGAGAAGAUGAAGGCCGACAUGGAGGCCAUGAAAGAGCAAAUGGCCACAAUGAUGGAGGCCAUGAUGAGCAUGAAGAAGAUAAUGGAAACCAAUGCGGUUAUAGUUUCCGCUACUAGCGCUAUCGCUAAGGUGAACCCGAUGCUCCCAUCUGGCCUCAAGCAAAUGAAUCAUCCAACCUCAAAUAUGUUAGGCAAAGAUUUGGGAAGUACGGACGACCCCAUGAUGUGCAAAUUCAAAACAAGCACGCCUUCCCAUCAUAUGGCUUGCCUCCCGACUAUACACCACCCAAUGUGGCAUACACUCUCAAUGAAAAUCUCAAUAACUCCACUCCGAUACUCAUUGAGAACCAAUAACCUCAUCAGGCACAUAUCUCUCAUGGGGGAGACACAUGAAAUUCCCCACCACAAUCUAGCUGACUUCGAGCCUUGGCUCAGAUAUGCCACUGAAGGGCAAGCAGUUGGUGGUAUACCCUUUGAAAACACUUUGGAGGGCCCUCAGUUUCGCCCACAACCACAACCAUUGCGUUUUGUGGUGGGAAAAAAACCCUCAUGCUAUGGCAGAAAUGGGAAAGUUGGAUCAUCUAGAGGAAAGGCUCAGGGCCAUUGAAGGAGGUGAAGAUUAUGCCUUUGCUAACCUAAAAGAGUUGUUCCUAGCACCCAAUAUCAUCACCCCUCCCAAGUUCAAGGUGCUGGACCUUGACAAGUACAAGGGGACUACUUGUCCCAAGAACCAUCUAAAGAUGUAUUGUCAGAAGAUGGGGGAAUACGCAAAAGAUGAGGAAUUGCUAAUACAUUCCUUCCAAGAAAGUCUUACUGGGGUAGCUGUUACCUGGUACACUAACUUGGAAUCUUCCCGAGUCCAUUCUUGGAAGGACCUAAUGGUUGCCUUUGUUAGGCAGUAUCAGUACAAUUUUGAUAUGGUUCCGGAUAGGAUGCAACUACAGAACAUUUGCAAAAAAGGGGGACGGAUCUUUCAAAGAACACGCCCAAAAGGUGGAGGGAUCUGGCGGCCCAGGUGGUACCCCCAAUGAUGGAAAGGGAGACGAUAAUCGUGAUGGUAGACACAUUAUCGGUACUCUACUAUGAAAAGAUGGUGGGCUGCGCACCCUCAAAGCUUUGCAGAUUUGGUCUUUGCCAGUGAAGGGAUCACUGUGGGUCCGAAAAAAGGCAAAUUUGAUCAUCCUACUAGGACGACUGAGAAAACUGGGGCAAAUAAAGAGGGUGAGAAAGAGGGAGAAACCCAUGCUGUGACUGCCAUUCCUAUACGGCCAAGUUUCCCACCAACCCAACAAUGUCAUUACUCAGCCAAUAACAAACCUCCUUACCCACCACCCAGUUAUCCACAAAGGCCAUCCCUAAAUCUACCACAAAGUCUGUCUACCGCACUUCCAAUGACGAACACCACCUUUAGCACAAACCAAAAACACCAACCAAGAAGUGAAUUUUGCAGCGAGAAAGCCUGUAGAAUUCACCCCAAUUCCAGUGUCCUAUGCUGACUUGCUCCCAUAUCUACUUGAUAAUUCAAUGGUAGCCAUAACCCUAGCCAAGGUUCAUCAACCUCCAUUUCUCUGAGAAUACGACUCAAACGCAACGUGUGCUUGUCAUGGAGAAACCCCGGGGCGUUCCAUUGAGCAUGGUAGGGCUCUGAAGCGUAAGGUGCAAGGUCUAAUUGAUGCGGGCUGGCUGAAAUUUGAGGAGAAUUGCGUGUAAAUCCCGACAUUGACAAGAGAUGCCACACAUGGGGCAAUUUUGAAAGCUGUUGUUAGGUGUCCCUAAUGACUCAUCAGGGUUUCCAAGUUUAUGCCAUUAUUGUAAACCACAGCUACAAUGUUAAAUGAAAUGGAUAAAGUUGAUAUCUUUGUCCCUCAUCCUCUCACAAACGCAUGUUUGCUUAUUCAACUUUCACCGGAAUGUGGGUGUAAGCCAUUGGUCUGUUUGCUCAAGCAACCUGCGCUCCUGAGUGUUGACUUCCAAGACCGUUCAAUCAGAGAUUACUCAUCUUGCACGAUGGUGGGGGUGCCGUAAAACAACGAGCAAAGUUCAAAACAAAUAAGUUUCAAAAUAAAAAAUAAGUUUCAAAAUAAAAAAUAAAAAGGCAUUUGAUUGACUGUGUUUUCAAGUAAAAAUAUAGACGUUCAUGUGACCUCAUUUUGUCUUUUUAGAGAGAAGUGAGUUAUCAAGAAUAGGAUGUUGGACAAAUGGCCUCAGUUACCUUGAGAAGAAGAGGGGAUUGAAUUAAGAUACGAAUAUUAUUCCCCAAUUAAACUUUCACUCUCUCUUUUCGGAUUAACAAUGCACAUAGGGACAACCCUUCCCUUGUGUUCAAGAAUCCUCUACUACAAGAGACCCAUGGUCUCUUAAUCCCUUUUCAGAAAUAAGAAGAAGAAAUCUCUCUUAAAAGGGAUAGAUUGUAAAAUGAAGAUCAAUCAAAAUUCCUUAUUGAAUAAGCAAGUGGUUGACCAAGGAAUCUUUUUGAGAGGAUAAGACAUUUCAGUUCAGAAAAACUCUUAAUCUUUCGAGAGGAUAAAACUGUUUGGGCAAUGAAAACUCUCUUUAAAACAUUUGAAUGGCCGUUUAUAAAACAUUUGAAUAGAUAUGUCUCUUGGAAAUUAUUUUCUGAAAAUCCCCUCUGGUAAUCAAUUACAAGACUUAUGUAAUCGAUUACAGGUUUUAAAAAUUUGAAUUAAAACAUUUUCAACUAAUGGUAAUCGAUUACCAGAGAGCAAAUCUCAAUUUGAAAUGAUAGAAUUCUUUGGUCAAACCUUUUGCUUCUUCAAUUUGGAAACUUCUUCCUAAGAUUCUAGAGAUCAACUUGAUCAUAUAUCUUGAUUUUCUUGGAUUCUUGUCUUGAAUAAACUUGGAAGCACUUGAUCCUUUGGCAUCAUCAAAACAUCAAAACAUCUUGCUUCUACAUAGGAGUCAUUAGACUUAAUCCAUCAACUGAAAGAUCCUUCAACUAUUUCUCGUCCUUGGAAAAAUUCUUUUUGCAAGAAUCAACUGCUUCUUUCAUUCUUCCUCACUACGAGGCUAUGAAAACAAGACAAUGAUGGUUACCUCAUAGCCCUACACUGGGGCAAUGAAAGGCACCAUGCAUAAACCUCAAGUGAACCUAGGGGCAGAUUAGAAGUUCUCACCCAAUAGGUUCCCUCCUACAAGGUCAUGACGAAAGACAACGAUUGGUACCUCAAAGCCUUACACUGGGGCAAUGAGGGGCAUCGUGCAUGAGCCUCAAGUGAACAUAGGGGCAGAUCAAAAGUUCUCACCUGUCGAUGUUUUUAAACAAGAAAAAGAAAAGGGGGGACAAACCCUAGGAUUUCAAUAGAUUGAUUAAACGUCAAACAACUCUAUUGCCAUCACUCCAAAAUGGUCAAGUGACUAAAUCAAACAAAACAUACACUUUGAGGGGGUUCCCGGAGAGAUUUGCAAAAGAUAGGAUAAGGUUGCAUGAAUUAUCACCUCUUUCAAAAGGACAGUCAAUCUGUGUUUUCCAAAAAAAAAAAAAUUAAACAAAAAUCAAAAUCACAAAACAAGGAAAGAAUGACAUGAGCAUUGUACAAACUUUCCAUUUCAUUGCAUUAUUUCAUAUGAAGUCCGCAUUUACCAAAUUUCACGACAAAGGUUGCAUGCAUCUGCAUCCCUAAAAAUCAUGUUAACUACAUAGAUUCCCUACAUCUAAAUGUCCAAAUCUUUUGAAUUUAGGAUGAUCGGCUCUCUCGAUGAGUCGAUCCCUUGCUUUCUCAUAAGGAUGGACCCUUGGGUACUAGUACCCUCGUCUCCAGAGGACUAUACGUCCUCGCCUUGAGAGGACUACACGUCCUCACCAUCAGAGGGCUGCACGCCCUCACCUCCAGAGGACUAUAAGUCCUCGCCUUGAGAGGGCUACACGCCCUCAUCUUGGGUACUAGUUACCCUCACCGUUGAGAGGACUACACGUCCUCGCCUUGAGAGGACUACACGUCCUCGCCUUGAGAGGACUACACGUCCUCACCAUCAGAGGGCUGCACGCCCUCACCUCUAAAGGACUACAUGUCCUCGCCUUGAGAGGGCUACACACCCUCACCUUGGGUACUAGUUACCCUCACCGCUGAGAGGACUACACGCCCUCGCCUUGAGAGGACUACGCGUCCUCACCAUUAGAGGGCUGCACGCCCUCACCAUCAGAGGACUACACGUCCUCGCCUUGAGAGGGCUACACGCCCUCACCUUGGGUACUAGUUACCCUCACCGUCAGAGGACUACACGUCCUCGCCUUGAGAGGACUACACGUCCUCACCACCAGAGGGCUGCACGCCCUCACCUCCAGAGGACUAUAAGUCCUCGCCUUGAGAGGGCUACACGCCCUCACCUUGGGUACUAGUUACCUUCACCUUCAGAGGACUACACGUCCUCGCCUUCAAAGGGUCAUGUACCUUCAACUUCAGAGGACUACACGUCCUCGCCGUCAAAGGGUCAUGUGCCUUCACCUUUGUAGGGCUACACGCCCUCACCUUCAGAGGACUACACGUCCUCACCUUUAGAGGACUACACGUCCUCGCCAUCAGAGGACUACAUGUUCCCGAUUUUCAAAGGGGGGGCAUGCCCUCACCUUUAGAGGAUUGCACGUCCUUGCCAUCAUAGGACUACACUCCCUCGCCUUCGAAAGGCGACACGUCCUGAACUUCAGAGGGCUACACGCCCUCGCCUUUAGAGGACUACGCGUCCUCACUUUCAGUGGGCUCCAUAUCCACACCUUAAGAUAAUUUAAGGUCCUCUGUCCUUAAAUGCUUAACCGAGACUUGCACUCCCGGUUAAGGGACCAGUAGUUUCCUUUUAACGGUUCCUGGGCCACCCCCUGAUAUUGGAGGAGGGCCAACUUGCUAGCACAACCAGAGAGGGAGGCUAUCACACAACUACUAUGCAUACUGGGGCAAGAUUUCACCCGUGCCGCUGCAAAGAGAAGAGUGCGGACCAUGCGCACCAACAUGACCACUCUUACACAAAUAUAGAUGACAUUGCUACUUAGCAACAUUCUGCCCAGCGACCGCAAUGCCAAUCUCCCCCUGCGGAAGUAUCAGUUGGUCUGUGUCGUCCCGACAUGGGUAAGUAUGCAUAUGGUUCAACUGAUUUCUGAUACCAUCUAUUGUUUGCAGGGAUCGCACCCACAAGACACCCAGUGGACCCAGAAAAGUCCAACAGGGCCCUGGGGUUUCCAGCUCUGGUUACGGGCCUCUAUCAGUCCUACAGGGUGCCCGUACCCCCCUGGCAAGGUUAUGUCAUCAUAGGUAAGUAUGCACAUCGCUCAACUGAUUUCUGAUUUCAUCAAUUGUUUGCAGGGAUCGCACCUGCAAGACACCCAGUGGACCCGAAGAAGUCCAACAGAGUCUUGGAGUUGUCAAGCUCUAAUUACGGGUCUCUGUCAGUUCUACAGAGUACCUGUAACCUCCAGCAAGGGCAUCAGGCCCCCUACUGAUCGAGCUUUCAUCAAGAAGUACUGCGUCCCUAGGCAGGCGCAGGGCGAAACACCACAGCAGCAUUAGGAUGGUCGGUAGCGGGCAAUAGACACACCGCCACCACCUCUAGAGUUAACCUCAGCUCAUCCGCAAAAAGGUUAGAGUGUUGCCUACGACACAUGGCCGACCAGUAGGCGACCAAGUCCAAAGCCAAAGGUAAGCAAAGUACUAGGUCAGUGACCGACAAGUCAUAAGGCGUCCAGCUAAAGACGUUAAAGAAGCGCUACUAGGAGGCAACCUAGUACCUUUUGAAUCUAUGCUUGUUAUUUGAUCACUUUUUAUAGUAGGAUGCACCUAGUUGCUCAUGAUCCUGGGGAUUUAAAUAAAACAAGCGCAAGCUCAGAAGGUAGUCAUACCUCACAAAAUAUAUAUAUGUAUGUUUAGGUAGUGAAAAUACCUUAGAUAUGCAUGUAUGUAAACAAAAAAAAAAAUACUUCACAAAAUAUAUAUAUGUAUGUUUAGGUAGAGAGAUACCUUAGAUGUGCGUGUAUGUAAACAAAAAAAUACCUCACAAAACAUAUAUAUGUAUGUUUAGGUAGAGAGAUACCUUAGAUGUGCGUGUAUGUAAACAAAAAAAUACCUCACAAAACAUAUAUAUGUAUGUUUAGGUGGCAAGAUACCUUGGAUAUGCAUGUAUAUAGCAAAAAUACCUCACAAAAAUAUGCACAUGUUUAGGUAGCAAAAUACCUCAUGAAAAAAAAAGAAGAAAAAAAAACAAACAAGAAAAAGAAAUAAACAAAUGAUAAUGAUAAAAAAAAAAGAAGGAGAAAAAAGAAAAAAAUAAGUUAUCUAGCUAAAAAACCAACAUGCUUUUGAAAGAGAUCACUUCCAACUUUUCUUUGAAAAAAUUCGCUGAUCAUAGCUAGUUUUUUUUUUUUAAAAAAAAAAAAAAAAAUGUGUAUACACCUGAAGGGUGAAUGCUGUGAAAUUUCCCCGGACGCCCGAAAUGGACCCGGAUGAAUGCACAAAUUGAUAAAAGAACAUAUUUUGGAAACAUUGGGUUGACUAAAAUAGAGGAAAUGAAUCCUGAGCCCUAGCAUCACAUGACCAUAAAAAUUUGACACUUGAGUGUCCGCAUAGGUGCAUGCAUGACCAGUUUUGCAUAAAGUUUCCAAAUCAUCAUUUUUGCAUUUGUGUCAUAGAAAUAAUGUGGGGCACCCCUUUUAUCCUUGAGCCAAACCAAACCCUGACAUGUAUCAUGUCUAGCCAUUCUACAAACCUUGAGCCAAAAUCAUGACUCACUAUAAUCCUUACCCUCGGAAGCAAAAAAGGAAAGAAGGAAAAUUCCCAAUCAAAGAGUGGGAGAAAGCAAAAAGAAAAGAAAGGAAAUUCCCAAUCAAAGAGUGGGAGAAAGCAAAAAGAAAAGAAAGAAAAUUCCCAACCAAAGAAUGGGAGAAAGUAAAGAAAGAAAAGAAGAAAGCUCCUGGUCAAAGAAACCAGAAGAAAUGUGCAGAGAGGUCUUUGGACCGGACAAUAUCUGAACAAUACAGAAUUGUCGCCAAAUGAACAAAAAAGAAGGAAAGGAAACCACGACCUAAAAUGGUCUUCUCCCUUUGAUUACCAACCAAAAUCCCGUGCGCUAGCGACUUUUUUUUCUCGCCCCGCACUAAACAAAAACAGAAAAAGAAAAAAGCCAGAAAAAUCAAAAGCCGAAAACACACAAAAGCCGAAAGAAGAAACCACCAAAAGAACCCAUUCCCAAGGGAAGCCCUAUUGAUCCAUGAUCACGCGUGUAAUUUUUUAUUUGAUAGGAAAUAAUUUGCAAAGUCAAGUCAUGACAUAUCUAUGGUUCGGAAUUAAGAUGAAACACUUACCUGUGCGAGAUUGAUACACUUUGAGUGGAUUUCUUCUAUUUUUGUCGAACCCAGUGUUUCCUCUAAAUGGUCAAUUAGAAACGAAAUGCUAACAUCCAAAAUCUCAUUUAUGGUUAUGGGAGAUUUCAUCAGCAGACUCUCCUUCCCCGGUAGACGCAUUGUUUUUCACUCAAAAAAGCAUAUGCUGCUCUAAAUCAGUUGGAAUAUUUGUCUCUUUUCUAAAGCAUGUUUGCAUUUUAGUGGAGAAAACACCGAGACUUUUUCAAGUCUCACAAGUUACCCAGAACUACGUAGGUCUGAGUUCCUCAUUGGAGGAUACGUAGGAGCAAGAGCCUCGCUUUUGUCGACCACACUGCCUUUUGUUGCCAUGACUCAAGAGCUGGUAGCCCGCGGAGACACCUUACGGUUAUCCGCACCUCGUCAUUCAGUCACCCCAAGUGUGAUUGACGAGCAGAGGCCAAUAUGGUCAUCUGCGCCCUUUCCGGAGAUGUCAGCAUUUUCCGAUGGAGACUUUUCAAGUCUCACCGAUUAUCCAGAACUACGUAGGUCUGAGUUCCUCAUUGGAGGAUACGUAGGAGCAAGAGCCUUGCUUUUGUCGGCCGCCCCAUAAUCUUUGUCAUACUGACCCUGAGGUCAUGUGACGUGCACCCUUGUAUCAUCCAGAGGCGGCGGGCCCGAUGAUACGCGGAGAUACCUUAUGGUUAUUCGCACCCUUUUGUCAUCCAGAGGCGGCGGGCCCGAUGACAAGCAGAGACCAAGUUUGGUCAUUCUGCACCCUUGUAUCAUCCAGAGGCGGCGGGCCCGAUGAUACGCGGAGAUACCUUAUGGUUAUUCGCACCCUUUUGUCAUCCAGAGGCGGCGGGCCCGAUGACAAGCAGAGACCAAGUUUGGUCAUUCUGCACCCUUGUAUCAUCCAGAGGCGGCGGGCCCGAUGAUACGCGAAGAUACCUUACGGUUAUUCGCACCCUUUUGUCAUCCAGAGGCGGCGGGCCCGAUGACAAGCAGAGACCAAGUUUGGUCAUUCUGCACCCUUGUAUCAUCCAGAGGCGGCGGGCCCGAUGAUACGCGGAAAUACCCGAGUGGUUAUCCGUAUAAACAUUCUUUUGCUAUCUGUAAGACAGAACGCUUGAUAGCAUGCAGAGACUGACACAGUCUUCUGCACCUUUUGUUCCUCCGGGAACAACAAGUCAUUUACAUGCGGAAAUUUCAUGGUCACCCGCGACUCUCGUCAAAUCGAGAGGAGCGAAAUUAGUGUCAUACACUGAUUUUCGUCCGGGGACCUUUGCUUGAUGACAUGCGACCAUUCUUUGGUCCUUGUGAGGUGCUUGGCAUCCAUCAUUAGGCAAUUUGUGAAAUUCUAGGAACGACAAGUCAUGGUCACCCGCGACUCUCGUCAAAUCGAGAGGAGCGAAAUUAGUGUCAUACACUGAUUUUCGUCCGGGGACCUUUGCUUGAUGACAUGCGACCAUUCUUUGGUCCUUGUGAGGUGCUUGGCACCCAUCAUUAGGCAAUUUGUGAAAUUCUGGGAACAACAAGUCAUUUGCAUGUGGAGAUUUUAUGGUCACCCGCGACUCUCGUCAAAUCGAGAGGAACGAAAUUAGUGUCUUAUCUUUACUUUCCUUUUAUCUCCAAUAAAAGACAAGUAAAGAGGGGCAACUGUCAUACCCUAAUUUCGUCCGGGGACCUUUGCUUGAUGACAUGCGACCUUUCUUUGGUCCUUGUGAGGUGCUUGGUACCCAUCAUUAGGCAAUUUGUGAAAUUCCAGGACAUGCCGGAAAACCAAAAAAAUAUUGAUGCACAAUCCGUAAGUUUCCGUGACACACCGGAAAUCAAAUGGAAGCAUCGUUGCAUAAUUAAGUGAGAUUCCGUAACAUUCCGUAAGUCAAAAAGGGGAUGAUUAUGUAAUCCGCAAGGUUCCGUAACAUUACGGAAAGAAAACAAGUAUCGUUACGAAAUUCGUAAGUUUCCGUAACUUUACGAAAAAAGAAUCACCAAAAAACAGAAGAGGGGGUGUACUUAGUAAAAAUGGGGGUGCAAAUAGCACCCAGGCCCACUUGGGCCCUCUAGAAGAUUCCUCCAGAAGGCUGUUGCUUCUGGAGGAAGCAACCUGGCUCGCCUGGGCGAGCUGGGCGGCAACCACCUCCCCUAUUUUGCUAUAAAUAGGGGAGGAAGAGAAGAAGAAAAGGGUUCAGCCCCUUAGGCACUUCUCUCUCUUUCGAAUUUGCUUGGAAAAAUUGUUUCCGUGAAGAAAAUCUAAGCCGAGGCGCUUCCGAAACGUUUCCGUAACGUUUUCCGUGAAGAAUUUCACGAAGGUUUCGACCGUUCUUCGACGUUCUUCAUUCGUUCUUCAUCGUUCUUCGAUCUUCAACGGGUAAGUACCUCGAACCAAGCUUUUCGAUUCAUUCUAUGCACCCAUGGUGGUCCACAUUGUGUUUCGUGCAUUUUUAUUCUCGUUUUGUUUACUUUUUAUACCCCCUGUUGACGUGCUUAAGCCAUUUUACUUAAGUCAUUUCUCGCUUAACUUAAAAAUAAAAUCAAUUUCCACCGAACGUUUGAAUUGUAUUAUCCGUUAACUUCGGUUAAAAUGAAUUCCGACCGUUCGGUCGUGCCGUAACCACGUUGGAAAUCAAAAAGAGGUAAAAAAUAAUAUAAUAAUCAAAAAAACAUCUUUUAGUAAAAUAAAGCGGAAAAUCAAUCGGACGUUUUCUCUUUGGGAUUUCUCAUUCUUAAUCGAAUUGAUUAAUAACUAAAGUGAAACUAAGGCUAAAAUCAACUCGCCUAGUCAAGCUCGUCCACAAAAAUAGGCUUUUGAAGUUUGUCAUUUCAAUUUCUCACUAAGUAAAAAUGGAUCAUUUUUUAAGGUCCAACGCCUUAAAAAUGACCACCACUUAAGUAAAAAAGAAACACUUUGUUCCGAAAGAACUACGUAGGUCUGAGUUCCUCAUUGAGGAUACGUAGGAGCAAAAGCCCCGCUUUUGUCGACCACCCCAAGAGAUCGUUAAUGGUCCAAUGCCUUAACGUUUCUCUCCUUUCAAAAACAAGAGAUCGUUAAUGGUCCAACGCCUUAACGUUUCUCCCCUUUCAAAAUCAAAAGACCGUUUAAAGGUUCAACACCUUAAAUGACCUUUUGUUCAAUAAAAACAUAUUUUGCAAAAAAAAGGACAAAAACAACUUAACCAAACACUUUGUUCCGAAAGAACUACGUAGGUCUGAUUUUCUCAUCCCAAAUUGAGGAAUACGUAGGAGCAAAGGGAAACACCCUUGUCGACCACAAAAAAGGGAAAAAAUAUAAAAAGGGUAUAAAGGAUAUAAGAACAUAAAAGGGAACAUAAAAAUCAAAGUCAUGUUUGCACAUUCGAUUAAAGGCUGCCGUCCCUUGGGACGGACGUGUGGGGUGCUAAUACCUUCCCCGUGCGUAAAUACAACUCCCGAACCUUUCACUAAAAAGUUUGUAGAUCGCGUCUUUUCCGGUUUUUCCGACGUUUUCCUCGAAUAAACGUUGGUGGCGACUCCGCGCGUAUUCCUUUCGUGGAACACGCAUCCCGCGAGUCACGCGUCGCCCUCCCGCCGAAGGGUAGGUUGCGACAAUUCUUAUAUUUGAAAGUUUUCUUAUCGUAUUUUUCCAUUCUUCUUUUAAAGAUAGGACAAUCAAAUCUCAGGUGCCCAGGUUGAUCACAUUCAUAACAUUUUGGAACUAAGGAGGAAUCUUCUACUUUCUUCUUUAGAUUGAAGUUUGAUUUCCUUCAAUUUCCUUUGUUUCUCGGGAAUUUAUUGAAUCUCUUUACAAAGAGACUAAAAUCAUCAUCUUCUUCUUUGUUCUUUUCAUUCGAGUCUUCUUUGUCAUUUUCUUCAUGAAUAGAAGAAGAUGUGGCUUUGAGUGCAAUUCCUUUCUUCUUUUUGUCAUUCUCUUCAUGUUGAUGGGGUCUCAUAAGUUCCAUUUCAUGUUCUUGAAGUUUCCCAAAGAGAGUGGCAAGAGACAUGUUGGUCAAAUCUUUUGAUUUCGCAAUUGCAGUUACUUUUGGUUUCCAUUGCCUGCUUAAACAUCUCAACACUUUGUUAAUGAGGUCUUCAUUAGGAAAUAUUUUUCCUAAUGAUGCAAGAUGAUUAACUAUAUGUGUAAAUCUCUUUUGCAUAUCUUGUAUGGUCUCAUUUUGAUUCAUUCUAAAAAUUUCAUAUUCAUGUGUGAGAGUGUUUAUUCUAGAUCUUUUAACAUCAAUUGUGCCUUCAUGUGUUACUUGUAAUGUAUCCCACAUUUCUUUUGCAUUUUUACAGUUUGAGACUCUAAAAUACUCAUCCGUGCCUAAUGUAGAAGUAAUUAUAUUCUAGGCUUUUAAAUUAUAUUGAACCCUUCUUUCAUCUUCAUCCCAUUGUUCUCUAGGUUUUUCUAUAGUUGCAUUUUCCACUACCAUUGUAGGAAUGAAUGGACCAAUUUCAAUGGCUUCCCAUAUAUUUAAAUCUAUGGCUUCUAUAAAGAUCUGCAUACAGGUUUUCUAAUAGUAAUAACCCUUAUCAUUGAAAAUAAGAGUCCUAUUAAUGAAGUUUUUGUCGGGAAAUAGAAAGUUUGAUGAGGUUGUAACUAUUCUUGAUGUUUUUAAACUUUAUACAAGAAUCCUACUCUGAUACCACUUGUUGGACAAGUGGCCUCAAUAACUUAAGAGGAGGGGGGGGUGAAUUAAGUUUCAAAAUUUUCCCACUAACAAAUUUUAAUCCCCUUAUAAAUGACAUAUGAUAGGCUCAAAAUGCAGAAGAAGAAGCAGCAAUUUAAACGUGCAAGACAAAAUCAGUUGCAAUAAAAUAAAUGAGAUAAGGGAAGAGAGAACUUCAAACUCAAUUUAUAUUGGUUUGGCCACUUCCCGUGCCUACGUCCAGUCCUCAAGUCAUUUGAGAUUUUCCACUAUCUCUGUAAUUCCUUUACAGUCUUUGAACACACCUUGGGAUCCCUCACCCUUGUGUUCAAGAUUCUCACAAGCCAAGAGACAAACAAUCUCUUGAUCACAAUAAUGUUUUUAGAAUGUACAGAAGAAUUUCUCUUCUUUAGAGAUGAUAGUACAAGUUGAAGAUCUUAGAAGAAUACUCAAUUGAUUUGCAAGUGUUUGAACAAUGAUUUGUUUUUUUAGAGAAUAUGACACUUAGGCUCUGAUGGAAAACUUUGAAGAUUUUCAUAGAAAAGCCACAUAUUUAUAGGCCCUUAUGGCUGUUUAAAAAACCUUUUUGAAGAGAUAGGACUCUUCAGAAUAUUUUUCAAAAUUCUCUCACUGGCAAUCGAUUACAGUAUCUUGGUAAUCGAUUACACAUUUAUGUUUUUUAAGGGUCAUGACUUUUCAAAGUUAUUUUCUGAAGAUUCGUUAUUGGCAAUCGAUUACAAACAGUUGGUAAUCGAUUACAAGAUUUUAAAAUUCAAAUUCAAAAUCCUUUUUGAAAAGCUCAUUUGCAAUCUAUCUCUGGUAAUCGAUUACAGUUCUUGGUAAUCAAUUACCAGUGCAAAAACAUUUAUUUUUGAACUGAUAAAAACAUUUGAAAAGCAGUUGAUGAGGCCAAAACUUAUUAACCAAUGUGAGAUUCUUUUAACACAUAAACUAAGCCUUAUUUUUCUCUUAAUCUUUGUUUGCUUAAUCUUGAAUUCAACUUGAAGCAAUCUUGUAUGCUUUCACUUUCGCAUCAUCAAAAUUUGUAUACUCAAAAACUUGGUAUACAUAUAUUCACACUGACUAGGUGGAUGACUUUAAAGAACCUCAUGUUAGAGGGCAUUGGAACACAAUGCUCUGAUAGGAUGUAACAUUGGGGCAUUGAUUUCUAUAUUAAUUGCAUGAAGUGUUGGACGACCUUAUUUUGAGCUGAGAUGAUUUUAUUAUUUAUUUGGACACAUUCUAUUAUGAUGUUAGAAAAGUGAAUGUGAGUCUUUUGCCCUUUUAAAAUGUUUUUAUUUAAAUGUGUUUUAAAAACUUUUAAUUAAUUCCGUAUUCUUAUUUCUUUUAUUAUUAGUACAUAUAUGUGUGGGGUAGAGGGUGUUGCACUGGUUACCCUCCUUCGCGUUAGUCUUCUUUUCCUUCUAACACAUUUCUGCGAUGUAUUUCAGUUUUUUCAUUUAUCGUUCUGCGAAACUGGUUUCAUAUCUUCAUUUUCUCCUUUUAUUCUCGUUGCAGACAUUCUUUUUUAGUGUUUAUAUUGAAAUUGCACAUUUAUUUGGUUUAGCUUUUGUGAGAAGGCUAUUAGUGGCGAGAGAGAAUUUGUUCCUAGAAGAUGUUAGCGAUUCACCGAAGUCCAAACACAUGGAAUGUGCGAGUAAUGUUGUGGAUAAUUGAUGUGCCAUUAUUUUCUCCUAUUUCUUAACCCUUUUUUGCACCAUUUUAAGUACUGAUUAGUCUUAAUUGUCAAAUUAAUUAGGCAAUUUUCUUAUUUGGGCCCAUUCAGCUAAUUUGAUGUUUUUAAUCUAAUUUCAUGAAUUAAUGAAGCAUUGGGCUUGAAUCCAGAAUUGGGCUUGGACUUGAAGAGGACAGACUCUUUUAUUCUACAAAAUUAGAUCUUAUCUUAUCUAGAUAUUAUUUAGAUUUGAUCUCAUCUAGAUAUUAUUUCAUCUAGAUCUUAUCUUAUCUAGAUUUGAUUGUAUUUUAUUUAUGGGCUUGGAUUUAAAACAUAUUUGUAAGUUUUGGGGCUAGAAAACUAUAUAACAGCACCAAGGUUCUAGUUUAGCCCUCUCUUAUCUCUCUCCCUCUCUUCUCUUUCUCCUUUAUUUUCAUUUUUUGCAAUUCCAGUUCUGACUUUUUGUUUUAGCCAUAAAAUUUUGUUCUUCAAUCUAUAAUUUUGUUAUCUAUUUGAUUAAUUGAAGGCUAAGUCCCCAACGUUGUUUUCUCUUGAGGAUCAAGCAUAGUUCUCUUUGAGGUUAUAUUAUUACUGUUAAAUUUUGUUCAGUUUUUCCUCUUCACUAAUUACUCUGAAUUUUUUGCUAUUAAUUCAUGCAAGCUUAGUGCUUGAUUAAUUGUCUCUGUGCUUAAUUUACGUUCAUGCUUAAUGAUUGUUUAUGAGUAAUUGGUGUAUGUGUCGCUUAAUCACAUAAUGAAUGCCUUAUGUUAAAUUUCGCUUAGUAAUUUAAUUUAGGGUUGGAUUAAGUGGUUAAACUGAUAAAGGAUAAAUUCUCGCAACCUAGGAUAAGAGACUUGCUUGUGAAUCAAGGGGAAGCAACGUAUUUUAAUUCUGAUAUUUUCUAAUUCAAUUUUAUUCAUUGUUUAAUUUACAAAAGCAAAUAACCCCCCCCCCAAUUUGUUACUAUUUCUUACUAUCUGUUAUGAACAUUUGGUUUAUCAUUGCUCGUUGGGAAACGACCUAGGAUCACUUCCUAGUUACUGCAUUUUAAUGUUUAUUUGAUUCGGGUACGGCCUCGAUCAAAUUUGGCGCCGUUGCCGGGGAGCAGUGUCCAAAGGUUCAUAAUAGCUAGUGUCGUGUUAGUGUUUAAUUCUUGUGUUAAUGUUAGUAUUGUUUAGUACCUUGUUAUUUUGUUUAUUGUGUGUUCUGUUUUAGUUUUUUUGUUCAGGGCUUCCCCUGUUUCAGUUUUGGUGUUUUGCUAUGAAUAGUGUUUUGCGACGGAUUUAGCGACCACUUUUGUUGAACUGGAAAACAACGUAGUAGUGGAAAUCCCUUAGCGACGGAUUUUAGAGACCACCCUUUCUGAAUUAAUUUGGAUUUUUUGUUUUGGUGGCUAUAGUUGUUAUUUUUGGCUGAAUUUUUUUGUGGUCACUUCUUUUGAUCCAUAUUUUGUGGGAAAAAUAGCUGGAGCCCUUAGUUUGGUCAGAUUUGAAAGUUCCAAAAAUGUAGCAAAUUUGAUUUUUGUCAAAACUUCAAACGACCAUAACUUUUGCUCCAAUUAUCAGAAUCGCAAUUAUUAUAUAUGUAUUUGGGGUAGAAAAAAAUUUCCCAUGCCGUGGCAAGGCCGGCUAAGGUCUCCUUCUUCCAAAAAUUGAGAUUCUGUCAAAAGUUUUUUAUUUUCCAAGUAUUAUUCUCUUAUUUUUCUUAACUUAUCAUUUUUAGCUUCUAUAGUUAGACUUUGAAUUCUUGUUUGAAAUUUUUUGUGCUAUUUCUCAUCAUUUUAUAAGGUUGCUCACAAAAUUUCAAGUCAUUUGGAUAUCAUUUGAGGGUAGUUGUAGUUCAAACCUAGACUGUUACUUGCAUAAGAAGGCAACUAGUUGUGCAUGCUGAAUAUAGUGUAUGACUAGAGGCAAUUCAUCUGACUUACAACCCUUUGAUCUUGAGAUAGAUAUGACAUUUCAUAGAUUAGUUAGACAUCAUUUAAUACCUUUUGAGCAUCAUGAGCAUUCUAUUAUUAGUGAUUUUGAGCAUUAUUGUUUUAAACAUUCUGAUUUUGGACAUUCUGAGAACAUGAAACAACCUCCACCCCGUGAGAGGACUCUAAGGGAAAUGGCUGCACCUGAUUCCACCUACGAAAGCUUGUGCAUCCAAUACCCUGAUGAGGAUGUCCCAUAUGUUCUUAAAACUGGACUAAUCCAUUUGCUUCCAAAGUUUCAUGGCCUUGCAGGUGAAGACCUACAUAAGCAUCUGAAGGAAUUCCAUAUUGUCUGCUCCACCAUGAAACCCCCAGAUGUCCAGGAGUAUCACAUAUUUCUGAAGGCUUUUCCUCAUUCUUUAGAGGGAGUAGCAAGGGACUGGCUAUAUUACCUUGCUCCAAGGUCUAUCAUGAGCUGGGAUGACCUCAAGAGAGUAUUCUUAGAAAAAAUUUUCCCUGCUUCCAAGACCACGACCAUCAGAAAAGAUAUUUCAAGUAUUAGACAACUCAGUGGAGAAAGCUUAUAUGAAUACUGGGAGAGAUUUAAGAAACUAUGUGCCAGUUGCCCUCACCACCAGAUUUCUGAGCAGCUUCUCCACCAAUAUUUUUAUGAAGGACUCAGUAACAUGGAGAGAAGUAUGAUAGAUUCUGCCAGUGGUGGAGCCCUUGGAGACAUGACCCCUGCUGAAGCCAUAAAUUUAAUUGAGAAGAUGGCUUCCAACUCCCAGCAAUUCAGUGCCAGAAAUGAUGCUAUUGUCAUUAGAGGAGUGCAUGAAGUAGCCAUGAAUUCAUCUUCAUCAGGUGAGACUAAGAAGCUUGAAGGUAAACUAGAUGCCUUGGUUAACCUGGUAACCCAGCUGGCCAUGAAUAAAAAAUCUGCACCUGUCGCCAGACUCUGUGGUUUAUGCUCCUCUGCCGACCACCACACAGACCUUUGCCCUUCUGUGCAACAAUCUGAAGCAAUUGAACAACCUGAAGCUUAUGCUGCAAACAUCUACAACAGACCUCCUCAACCUCAAUAGAAAAAUCAGCCACAACAGAACACUUAUGACCUCUCCAGCAACAGGUACAACCCCGGGUAGAGGAAUCAUCCCAACCUUAGAUGGUUGAGUCCUUCACAAUAGCAACAACAACAACAGCCUUAUUUUCAUAAUGCUGCUGGCCCAAGCAGACCAUACGUUCCUCCACCAAUCCAACAACAACAAUAGCAACAGACCCAGAAACAACAAACAGUUGAGGCUCCUCCGCAACCUUCCCUUGAAGAACUUGUGAGGCAAAUAACUAUGCAAAACAUGCAGUUUCAACAAGAGACCAGAGCCUCCAUUCAGAGCUUAACAAAUCAGAUGGGACAAUUGACUACACAGUUAAAUCAACAACAGUCCCAGAAUUCUGACAGAUUACCUUCUCAAUAUGUCCAGAAUCCCAAAAAUGUGAGUGCCAUUACAUUGAGGUCGGGAAAGCAGUGUCAAGGACCUCAACCAGUAACAUCUUCCUCAUCCGCAAAUGAACCUGCCCAACUUCACCCUACUCAAGAAAAAGAUGAUGACAAAAAUUUAAAGAGUAAGUCACCUAACAAUUUCUAUGCAGGUGAAUCUAAAGAGAAGCAACAUAUCCCUCUUCCAUUCCCUCCAAGAGCAAUUUCCAACAAAAAAAUGGAAGAGACAGAGAAGGAGAUCUUGGAAACAUUUAGAAAAGUAGAAGUAAACAUACCUCUGCUAGAUGUAAUAAAGCAAAUUCCAAGAUAUGCUAAAUUCUUAAAGGAGCUGUGCACUAAUAAGCGGAAGCUUAAAGGAAGUGAAAGAAUUAGUAUGGGCAAAAAUGUCUCCGCAUUGAUUGGUAAAUCUGUUCCCCAAAUCCCUGAAAAAUGUAAAGAUCCAGGUACAUUCAACAUACCUUGUAUUAUAGGGAACAGUAAGUUUGACAAUGUCAUGCUAGAUUUAGGAGCUUCUGUUAGUGUUAUGCCUCUGUCUAUUUUUAUUUCUCUAUCUCUAGGUCCUUUGCAGUCAACUGAUGUGGUAAUUUAUUUAGCUAAUAGAAGUGUUGCCUAUCCUGCUGGUUUCAUAGAGGAUGUCUUAGUUAGAGUAGGUGAACUGAUUUUCCCUGUUGAUUUUUAUAUUUUGAAUAUGGAGGAGGGAUUUUCUAAAGGAUCAGUUCCCAUCAUUCUAGGUAGACCUUUUAUGAAAACUGCUAGAACUAAGAUAGAUGUAUAUGCAGGCACACUAUCUAUGGAGUUUGGUGAUAUAACUGUUCAUUUUAAUAUUCUUGAUGCUAUGAAACACCCAUCUGAAGAUCUUUCUGUGUUUCGUGUUGAAAUAAUUGACCAUAUUGUUGAUGAAUACAUGACUGAUCUUCAUUCUAAUCUGCAUGUUUGUCACUCUUCAUGCAUUGAAUAUGAAUUUGUACUUGAUCAUAUGUCUGAAUUUGAUGCUGAGAGUGAAUAUGAAUUUGAUAUUGAUUACAUGUCUGGUGAUGUUUUACCUCUUGAGAUUGAUUUUAUAAAGUCAGAUAAAACUAACCAUGUUUCAGGAAGUACACAUAAUUCUGACUUUCUUUAUGAGGUACAGGCUGAAAAACCAUCUUUUUCUACCAUUAUCCAGUCGACCACACCAGAAUUGAAGCCUCUACCAUCAAAUUUAAAAUAUGCUUACUUGGAUGAUAGCAAAAGUUUUCCAGUAAUUAUAUCUGCCUCCCUUGCUGAUGAGCAAGAGAAGAAGUUGUUAUCAGUUCUCAAGAAGCAUAAGAAGGCUAUAGGCUGGACCCUGGCGGACAUUCCUGGUAUUAGCCCAUCCAUAUGUAUGCAUUGAAUAAAUUUAGAGGAUGGGGCUAAACCAGUAAGACAACCACAGAGAAGACUUAACCCGGUGAUUCUUGAUGUAGUGAAGAAGAAGGUAACCAAGCUUUUGCAAGCUGGAAUCAUUUAUCCUAUCUUCGACAGCCAAUGGGUGAGUCCCGUCCAGGUAGUCCUGAAGAAAACCGGCCUCAUCGUGAUAAAAAAUGAGAAGGAGGAGUUGAUUCCUACUAGGGUGCAGAACAAUUAGAGAGUCUGCAUCGACUAUAGGAGGCUGAACCAGGUUACCAAAAAGGACCAUUUUCCCCUGCCAUUCAUUGACCAGAUGCUUGAACGCCCGGCAGGUAAAUCUCACUACUGUUUCCUUGUUGGUUUUUCUGGUUAUAUGCAAAUCACUAUUGCUCCUGAGGAUCAGGAAAAGACCACAUUCACCUGCCCCUUCGGCACUUUUGCCUAUAGGAGGAUGCCUUUCGGCCUGUGCAAUGCCCCUGGUACCUUCCAGCGGUACAUGAUUAGUAUUUUUAGUGAUUUUUUAGAAAAUUGCAUAGAGGUGUUUAUGGAUGAUUUCACUGUAUAUGGAUCCUCUUUUGAUAUUUGUUUGGAUAGUCUGGAAAAGGUUUUGAAUAGAUGCAUUGAAACUAACCUUGUUCUAAAUUUUGAAAAAUGUCAUUUUAUGGUUGAGCAAUGUAUAGUUUAAGGCCACAUUAUUUCCAAUAAGGGCAUUGAAGUAGAUCCUGCAAAAAUUUCUAUUAUUUAACAAUUGCCUUACCCCUCUUGCGUGCGAGAGGUGCGAUCUUUUCUUGGUCAUGUAGGAUUCUACAGGCGCUUUAUAAGAGAUUUUAGCAAGGCACCUGAUUGGACAACCCCAUUUGAGCUAAUGUGUGAUGCAUCCAAUUACACAUUGGGGGUUGUCCUUGCUCAAAAUAUCUCCUUACUUCAGCUUACUUCUUUUCCACCAAGACUUAGGGAGUUUUUCUUUUCCUAUCUCCUUCAUUACUUUUAUUACAUUUGUCCGAUUCUAUUUGAUGGUUUAAUUGCUUUUAAUCUUUUAAUUGUGCUACAUUGAGGACAAUGUGUUGUUUAAGUAUGGAGGGGGGAGUGUUCUUUGGUUUUGGUUUUGCUAGUUUUGUUAGUUUUGUUGGGUUUCUAGUUUAAUAUUUGUUGGAUCAAGUGGCCUCAGAAUAAUUAAGAAGGGGGGUUGAAUUAAUUAUUCCUAAACCUUUACUAAUUAAAAAUUUACUCUUCUAAGGCUUUUACUUAUGUUGUUAAGAGAAUAAGGAGUAGAAGAGAAACUUAACCAAAAGUAAAAAUGGAAAUUAAAAUGCACAGUGGAAAGUAAAAAGUAGGGAAGAAGGAGACAAACACACAAGAGUUUUUAUAUUGGUUCGGCAACAACCCGUGCCUACAUCCAGUCCCUAAGCGACCUGCGGUCCUUGAGAUUUCUUUCAACAUUGUAAAAAUCCUUUUACAAGCAAAGAUCCACAAGGGAUGUACCCUCCCUUGUUCUCUUUGAACCUAGUGGAUGUACCCUCCACUAGAACUGAUCCACAAGAGAUGUACCCUCUCUUGCUCUCAGUCAAACCCAAGUAGAUGUACCCUCUACUUGUACCACAAAGGAUGUACCCUCCAAUGUGAUAAGACAAAGAUCUUAGGCGGUUAAACCUUUGAUACUUUGUGAAUGGGGAUACAAAAGAAUUCUCAGGCGGUUAGUCCUUUAAACACUUUUGUAUAAGGGAAAGGCAAGAAUCAAAAGAAUUCUCAGACUAUGUCGUUUUGAAUUCUUUGACAAGGGAGAAGGGAGACAUAAAAUAAUUCAGGCGGUUAGUCCUUUGUUCUUUUGGAAAAGGGAGAAGAGAGACACAAAAAGAAUUCAGGCGGUUAGUCCUUGGCGAAUUCUUUUUGGCAAAGGGAAAAGAGAUGAAAAGAAUGAAUAGCACAAGUUUUCAAGGUUUAGAAAACCAAAAAACUUUGGAAAGCUUUUGGCACAAAGAAGAAGAAGAAGUUCAAAGAGAUUCAAGACUUGUAAAGGAUUGUAAUAGAUUGAUUGGAUUGAUAGAAAGAUUGAUUUUCAAAUGCAAAACAAAGCCUUUCUUUUAUAGACUCUUUAUGUCUGGUCAAGAGAACCAUUUAGAAGAGUUAUGACUUUUAGAAAAACUUAAAACCAAUUUGAAAAAGUCAAAAAACAUUUGAAGAGUUACAUCUUUUGAUUUACUCAGAAACAAUGACUAGUAAUCGAUUACCAAAUCAGUGUAAUCGAUUACACAAAGCUUUUAUGUGAAAGGAUGUGACUCUUCACAUUUGAAUUUGAAUUUCAAUGUUCAAAGGCACUGGUAAUCGAUUACCAAAACAUUGUAAUCGAUUACAGCUUUUUGAAAUCAAUUGGAACGUUGUAAAUUCAGUUGAGAACUUUUUCAAAUCCAUUUUGCUACUGGUAAUCGAUUACAAUAAUCUGGUAAUCGAUUACCAGAGAGUAAAAACUCUUUGGUAAACAUGUUUUGAGAAAAAUCCAUGUGCUGCUCAAUUUUUGAAAAAACCUUUUCGUACUUAUCUUGAUUAAGUCUUCUCUUGAUUCUUGAAUCUUGAGUAUUGAAUCUUGAUCUUGAUUCUUGGAAGCUUGAUCCUUGAAUCAUGAUUCUUGAUCCUUGAAAUCAACUUUCCUCUUUAAUCUUGAAGUGUUCUUCAACUUUCCUCUUGAAUCUUGAACUCAUUCUUUGAUUGACCUUUGAGCUUUUUGUCAUCACCUUUGUCAUCAUCUUUGUUAUCAUCAAAACAUCUUUGAACCAAUCUUGAUUCAUCAUGAAGCUUUGCUUCUACAAUAUUUUAGGUCAAUUCUGUUUGCAUGUACAACUUUGCAUAUUUUUCUUUGAAUUAUAGGAUAUGUUCAAGAAAUGGGUAAUUGUUCUGAAAAUAAAAGUCUCUUGACAUUUUGUGAUUUGAAAUCCUUGUUUUUCCUCUACAUGUCAUGAUAGUUUUGAAAGCUCAAUUUAAAAGUGAUAAGUUUACCUUUGUGAGAAUUUGAGCCAUCCAUCAUCAUAAUCUUUUGGUGUGUUUUGACCCAUUGAUUGCUUGCACAAUAGCCUUGGCUUGAUUCUUGUUGAUACUUCCUAAUUCACAUGCAUAUUUGGAAAUGAUUUAGGCAAUUUUGUUCUUAUAAACUUCUAGCCAAAUGGACUUACCUUGAAUUAAUUUUUGGCCAUGCUUAAUGUUUCAUUUUGGCCAUGCUUGAUGUAUCUGUAUAUUGCCUAGUUCUUGCUUUAAUCUUCAAAUUCAAUCUAAAAAAAAUGAAAAAAAAAAUUAAAUUGCUGUAAAUUCUACAAAUUCGUACUGUUCAAAAAAAAAAAAGAAGAAAAGAAGUGAAGUUGAAUAAAUGAGGUCUUGUUAUGAGGACUCGAUUUGGGAGCCUUGGUUGAUUUUGUUGAUAUUAGAGGGUUUGGGUUUACUACUUGUGCUUAAUUUCCACUUAUUCCCCAUUGUUCCUCUAUUCCUUUGGGAUUUAGCUACUUAUUCCAUAUUUUUCUUCCCUACCUUGUCCUUGGCCCCAUUACAACCUUUAAAGACCUUUUGAUCCUUAUGUGCAUGUGUUUGUCAAGUUGUUUGUCAAUUUUAGAAUUUUGCCAAGUCUAUGUGGUGUUUGUUUUCAUGGGUGCUUCGAGAGUAAACAGUAGCCUAGACACUUGAGAGAUAGAGUGUAUAUCUUGUGAGGCUUAAUCAUUUUUCAUUCUUGAGUUGAUUAACUAUUUUGCCACGAUUGGGUUGCUCGGAUGAUUUUCACGAAUGUCUUGACUCUUUGGAUAUCUUCAUGUUAGAUGUUACCCAUUCCUUGAUGUUCAUUGAGAAAUAUGUAAAUGUUUUUGUUUGUUCCUCUUUGAUAUCCUUAGAUUUUGUUCUUUAUUUCAUUUUGCCUAGGAGUGCAAAAGGCUAAGUAUGGGGGGUUUUGAUGUGCCAUUAUUUUCUCCUAUUUCUUAAUCCUUUUUUGCACCAUUUUAAGUACUGAUUAGUCUUAAUUGUCAAAUUAAUAAGGCAGUUUUAUUAUUUGGGCCCAUUCAGCUAAUUUGAUGUUUUUAAUCUAAUUUCAUGAAUUAAUGAAGCAUUGGACUUGAAUCCAAAAUUGGGCUUAGACUUGAAGAGGGCAGACUAUUUUAUUCUACAAAAUUAGAUCUUAUCUUAUCUUAUCUUAUCUUAACUAGAUAUUAUUUAGAUUUGAUCUCAUCUAGAAAUUAUUUCAUCUAGAUCUUAUCUUAUCUUAUCUAGAUUUGAUUGUAUUUUAUUUAUGGUCUUGGAUUUAAAACAGAUUUGUAAGCUUUGGGGCUGGAAAACUAUAUAACAACACCAAGGUUCUAGUUUAGCCCUCUCUUCUCUCUCUCUCCCUCUCUUCUUUUUCUUCUUUAUUUUCGUUUUUUGCAAUUCCAAUUCUGACUUUUUGUUUUAGCAAUAAAAUUUCGUUCUUCAAUCUAUAAUUUCGUUCUCUAUUUGAUUAAUGGAAGGCUAAGUCCCCAGCGUUGUUUUCUCUUGAGGAUCAAGCACAGUUCUCUUUGAGGUUCUAUUAUUACUGUUAAAUUUUGUUCAGUUUUUCCUCUUCACUAAUUACUCUGAAUUUGUUGCUAUUAAUUCAUGCAUGCUUAGUGCUUGAUUAAUUGUCUCUACGCUUAAUUUACGUUCAUGCUUAAUGAUCGUUUAUGAGUAAUUGGUGUAUGUGUUGCUUAAUCAUAUAAUGAAUGCCUUAUGUUAAAUUUCGCUUAGUAAUUUAAUUUAGGGUUGGAUUAAGUGGUUAAACUGAUAAAGGAUAAAUUCUCGCAACAUAGGAUAAGAGACUUGCUUGUGAAUCAAGGGGAAGCAACGUAUUUUAAUUCUGAUAUUUUCUAAUUCAAUUUUACUCGCUGUUUAAUUUACAAAAGCAAACAACCCCCCCCCCCCCAAUUUGUUACUAUUUCCUACUAUCUGUUAUGAACAUUUGGUUUAUCAUUGCUCGUUGGGAAACGACCUAGGAUCACUUCCUAGUUACUGCAUUUUAAUGUUCAUUUGAUUCGGGUACGACCUCGAUCAAUGAUGAAAAAUCUAGUGCUCCAUUAGGGGUUGGAUUUUCAGACACGACUUUUGAGAAUUCUCGCGCUUAAAGGUAAUGUUUUUCAUUUUGCUCCAUAUCGAGUACUUUAAAAUCUAUAUUUUAGUAUUAAACUUAGUAUUUGUUUGGCAAAAGACAAGUCAGUUAGCGGUGUGUAAUCCAUUAUCCUCAUGGGCAUUUACUAGAUAGCGUAAUAUUGCAUAUAGUGGCAAGCAGAACCUCAUAUGCAAAUGCUCAUAGCAGAAGUCGUGCUUAAAAUAGCCUUGGAAAUGGUCUACAUGAAGUAACAUAAUCUAAGUCCCUCUUUUCCUCUGAAUCUUGAUUAGUUAAAAAUGAAUAAUCAAGUACUUACAUAAAUUGACUAAAUUUACAUGCAAUAUAUUAAUGCAAUUGGUGUAGUGUAGAUUCCUUUAGUGGUAUUAAUUUUUUAAUGUUGUUGGAAUCAUGAUUCAUUAGGCUUAGACUUUGGUGUAAGUAUCAUCUGCAUGGCAUGCAUUUAACUUGUAACAUUGUAAUUGCACUGAUCCAUUUUGACAAGAGUAUUGUCAAAUCUAUCUUUUUCUAUGCUUAAUUAAUGGUGGCUUGUUAGGUAUCAAAUUGGGUGGCUACUCUACAUUAGUCCAUGUUUUGAAAGACAUAUUAUCGUAUCAUUUUUAGUGUAAUCUGAAUAUGACUUCUUUUACUCACAAGGCAAGUAAUUAAGAAUUGACACGUUCAAUGGUUUAUAAAAUGCAAAAUAUAUUAUUUUACUUUCACCAUGAAAUUAUUUAUAUCUCCAUUUGUCAAUGUGAUCCUUAUUUUUCACUGCAAAAAGCAUCAUGUAGUGACGUAUUGUGUUCUUACAUCAAUCAAAUAAAAUAAUACUAAUUAAGCUACAAUUGAUGAAACUUAUGAGUUGACCCUACCAUUAUCAUUUAUAAUAUGUAUAAUAUUAUAGUAACCUAGCAUGCAUGUUUUAUAAUAAUAAAAAUAGUUUUGUGAAAUGUAGUAGCAAUUCUUUAGCCAUCACUAUCAGUACUAGCAUUUAUCUAAUGUCAACAUAUAGACUUUAUAUUAGCACUUGAAGCUUUUUGCUAUCUCUUCAUUUUGUUAUAUGUAGGUGUUAGGGGAAAAGAAUAUGAUAUAUAUAUAUAUAUAUAUAUAUAUAUAUAUAUAUAUAUAUAUAUAUAUAUAUAUAUAUUGCCUAAUUUGACCUAAGGACUAAGAGAGAAAGGUAUUUUGCAAAAAUAAAAUUGAUGCAAUUCUACCUCCAAGGGCAUUGGAUAGAAGAUUCCAAGACUAUUGGGCCAAAGAUGCAAGAGAAGGCCCUAGGGUUCUCAUAGGCUUUAGGAUAGAUUUUGGGUCCAUGGGCUCAGUAUGAGCCCAUUUAUCUUCGUACAUAUUAGAUUAGGAUUUCAUUAUUUUUGGGCCUUGUAUUUAGGGCUCCAUAAUGUAGGUAGGGUAUCCUAUUAAUGUAGGAUUUUUCAGCCCUUGUAAUUUAGGGCACCUAGACUAGUUUUUGUACUAUGGGUAGUUUUGUAAUUUCAUAUGCAUUAAGUGAAUAUUUGAUGUGUGUGUUGGGAAAUAAAUUUAAUUGAAUUUGGAGAAGCCCAUACAAUUAAAUUUUAGAGGGGGAGGUGAACAUUUGCUUGCUACACCUCAUUGUCACAUCAUAUAGUAACACUUUGUGCAUGUCUUUCAUGCUUUAUAUGCCUCAUGACACCUAAGCACACUUAGUGGAAAAUCUUUGACUUGAUCUUGGAUUAAUGGGUUGAACCAUAGUUAAAAUUCACUAAUCAUAAUUAGUGAAAUUUUGGCUCCAAAGUUUGGCUCCACAAAUUCAAUUUCAAAUUCAAGUGAAAUUUGAAUAGAAAUUCAAAUUUCCUUCCAAUUUUGUGACACUUAGGCUAUAAAUAGAAGUUAUAUGUGUGCAUUUUUCAACUUUGAUAAUUUGAGAAUUACAUUUCAAAGUUGAGACCUCAUUUGAGACACAAAAUUUCGUGCUCUUUCUCUCCCUCUCCCUCCACUCAUCUUCUCUUACCUUCAAGCUCUUAUCCAUGGCUUCCUACGGUGGUAAGCUUGUUCUUGACUCAUCUUCUCGUUGAAGUGGUGUCUCCAAUCAUCUUUCUUCCUUCUCCAUUCUGUUGCCAUUCAUCUUCAAGAAGCAAAGGAAUCCAUUGAUGAAGAAGAUCCAAGGCCUACAAGUUCCACAUGGAGCUACAUCAUGUGGUAUCAAGAGCAUCUUCAUCUAGGUGAUGUUCUUUUGCUUCCUCUAUCUUUUUGGUCGGUCAAUUCACUUUAACUCCUUGUUCUUCAUCUUAUUCUCCAUGUAUAUCCUCCAUUUUCUUGUGGUUUGGUUCUGUUCAGAGUAGAUUCAAAAAAAUAAAUCGAUUAAAUCUUAUAUCUAUACUUGUUCUUGCAUUUCUAUGGUUCAAAUUUUACAAAUCUACUCUUGAAUCAUGUUUUUGUGUUUAUUAUAGGUUCUAUCAUUUUUUAGUCAUAAUCUUCUUGUGUUGAACCUCUAGAUCUAAAUUUUCUUCCAAAAUAUUAAUUAGAAAUUUGCAUGAAAUUAAAAAAUACGAAAAAUCACACAAGUUGGCAGGAAAAUCAAUAUCCAGGAAAAAAAAAGUGAAAGGGAAGUGUGCUUGUUGUUUUGGCACGAAAUUUGUUCUAUAAUUUGUACCUAUUUUAUACGAAUCAUAGUUCUGAAAUUUCAAUUGAAAAUUAGUGUGAAAAAAAGUGCCAAAACUAGAGGUUUCUUAAGUCUUAUUUUUUUAGUUUUUUUUUACUCUACUCUAGAGUCAUUCUUCUUGUGUUGAACCUCUAGAUCUAAAUUUUCUUCCAAAAUAUUGAUUAGAAAAAAAAUGCAAAAAUCUACGUGUAAAUCACUUAAUCCAUGUUGUCUUAGAGUCAUGUUUAGUCAUAAUAAUUGUCACAUUAUGUUCUAAGUUUGUGUUGAAUUGUGAUUUUGUUGAUUGAAUUCUAGAUACAUUUGUUCAUGUAUUCUUGUCAUUCUUAGCCUAUCUUUUGAAUUUUGAGUCUAAGUCAUGCAUGUUAUUUAGUUCAUAACAUGUUCUAAAUCAAUUCCUAGAAGCAGUCUUGUUGUUGAACUUUGUUUUGUUUUCUAAGUUUCCUAUAUGAUGCCUAUGAAGAAAUUGAGUUGUGGUGUUGAGUUGUGGCUAAAUUUGUGAACCAAAAUAAGUCUUAAGCUCUCUUGAAUUGUGUUAUUCAAGAUAUUUGAGCAUAGUCAAACACAAAUUGUGAUUAUCCAAGCCUUAAGCAACAUAAACACUACUAUUGAUUUCUAGGUUAAAAUCACUUGUGCUCGUAGCUUGAACAUACAAACUUGUAAAAAUUAUUGGGAAUUGGUCACUGCGAAUUUUGAGCUGAAAUUUUUAUUGAAUUUUGUAGACUUCUGGAAAAAAAUUAUAAAAAAGGAACCAAGCGAUUUGGAUAAAAUGAAAAAAUACGAAAAAUCACACAAGUUGGCAAGAAAAUCAGUAUCCAAGAAAAAAGUGAAAAGGAAGUGUGCUUGUUGUUUUGGCUUGAAAUUUGUUCUAUAAUUUGUGCCUAUUUUAUACCAAUCAUAGUUUCGAAAUUUCAAUUGAAAAUUAGUGUGAAAAAAGUGCCAAAACUAGAAGUUUCUUGAGUCUUAUUUUUUUAGUUUUUUUUACUCUACUCUAGAGUCAUUCUUCUUGUGUUGAACCUCUAGAUCUAAAUUUUCUUCCAAAAUAUUGAGUAGAAAAAAAAAACACAAAAAUUUAAGUUUAAAUCACUUAAUCCAUGUUGUCUUAGAGUCAUGUUAAGUUAUAAUAAUUGUCACAUUAUGUUCUAAGUUUGUGUUGAAUUUUGAUUUUGUUGAUUGAAUUCUAGAUACAUUUGUUCAUGUAUUCUUGUCAUUCUUAGCCUAUCUUUUGAAUUUUGAGUCUAAGUCAUGCAUGUUAUUUAGUUCAUAACAUGUUCUAAAUCAAUUCCUAGAAGUAGUCUUAUUGUUGAACUUUGUUUUGUUUUCCAAGUUUCCUAUAUGAUGCCUAUGAAGAAAUUGAGUUGUCGUGCUAAUUUGUGGCUGGAUUUGUGAAUCAAAAUAAGUCUUAAGGUCUCUUGAAUUGUGUUAUUCAAGACAUUUGAGCAUAAUCAAACACAAAUUGUGAUCUUCUUAAUGGAAUUAACAUUCUCUUACUUUGUACUACCUUGCUAGUUAGAUUCUCAGUCUUAACAAAUUUCAUUUAUUUUAAAUAUAUAUAUAUAUACACACACACACACACACACACACACACACACACAUUUGUAUUGCUUGCAUGCUGCCUGAAUAUUGUUUGGAUUGAUGUUGUUUUUAAUUUUGUAGUUUUGGGUUAAUUAACAAAACAAACAACAUAUUUAAAAAAAAUACAAAACAACAUUGAUUCUGAAAGAACCGAUGUUGUAAUGCACCAUACAACAUUGGUUUUGGCUAAAACCGACCGAUGUUGUAUAGUAGCAAAACAACAUCGGUUUUGGAAGAAACCGAUGUUGUAUGGUGCAAAACAACAUCGGUUCUUCCAAGACCGAUAUUUUUGAAGUUUUUGUAUUUUUCUUUGUAUAUUUCUUUCUAUACGACAUUGGUUUUCUUAAAAACCAAUGUUGAGUAGUGUAUGUCAAUUUCAGUUUUAUAAAAAUUGAUGUUAACAUUGAUACUUUUAAUGUUGGUGGUUUCAACAUUUGUUAAAAGUCGAUGUUGAAAGUAAAAAAUAACUGAUGUUAAAAUCCUAUUAUCUAGUAGUGUUACUGCUACCACCACCAUUGUGAUCACCACUAUGGCCACAAUUGUAGCCAUUAACCUAAUGUCCUUGAUUGCCAACUUCUUCGUGGCUCUCAUAAUAUAAUACUUCACACAGUGACACUUCACUCAACAUCCUUUUUGGUCAGAACCUUCCGUAGGUAGUCCUUUCUAAGACCUCGACAAUCAUCUUUGACACUGCUCAAUUGCUCUCAAGAUCAUUGACUGUCCCCACAAAUCAACAUGAGACUUUUUAGCAUGCUUUUUCCUCACUCACAUGCUUGCACGAAAACUUCCCUGAAGAUCACCUAUCUCAUAACUACUCUAAGUCAAGCAAACUUAACUGUGAAGUUCUUAAGUGAUAAGCUACUAAAAAGUAGAUACAUCUUGUUGGUAUAAGUAGUGUCAAUUAAUACUUUUAAGUUCUUGAGUCUUUUGUUUUAGUUUUUUUUACUCUACUCUAGAGUCAUUCUAAGUUUCUCUUUGAGUCCUAGCUUGCUUUUAUGUGCUUUUCAUUGCUUUAAUUGUUGAAUAAUCCUUGAAAAUUUGUCUUGUUAAAACUCUAUUAGUUUAACUUUCAUUUCAUUUUUUUGGUCUUCGGUUAUUGCUUGUCUCUUUGUUUCCUUGUUUGUGAGUUGCCAUAUAGGGAAUUGGAAAGGAGGAUUGGUGUCAUCCCUUGAAGAAUUUGAGUCAAGAAGCAAGGAAAAAACCACCUUAAGAGCUAUUAGACUAAGAAGCACUCCAAAUUGAGAGAAUCACCAAAGAGAGAACAACCAUCAAAAUUGAGGACCUUUUGGUAAUUUUGUAAUUGAUAAUUUACUUACUUUCAUUGCUUUCAAAUUUUGUAACAAAAAGGCCUUUCAUUGGAAGUAAGUUGGGAGCCUCCAAUAGGUCACCCUACUUCCAUUUGUGUGUAAUAAUUUUAGGCAAUUUUCCCUUAGGAUUAUGAGUGUUUUGUUGGGAACCUUAAAUGUGGUCAUCCAAACACUCUUAGGAUUCGCCUAGUUUACAUUUCUUGCUUACUUUCAUAGCUUAUUUCUUUUACCUUCCAUUGUCAAACAGCCUAGAUAGCUUACCUUUUACCAAUUAUUUUUUACCUUAUCUUUCACACCUCUUUUAGUGUUUAUUUUGGCUAGUUUCAACCAUAGUCUCUUUUACCUUUUGUUUUCAAACCCCCAACAAGAAAGAACCAUAACUUAGGAACCAACAUGAGUCUUCAUUCUUCAUCUAGUGUUAAUGGUGAGAGUUCUACUCCUAAGGACCCCUUGUAUAAGAUAUUAGAUGAGUUGAGAUCCCUUAAGUUGUGGAAAGAAAAACAAGAGAGAAGAAAAAAGGUAAAAAAAGAGUGGAAGAAAUAAGUCAAGAUGAAAGAGAGAAAAUAAGAAAGGAAGAAAGAAGAAAAAUAAUGAAAGAAAUGAAAAGAGAAAAACAUGUCUCUUAUAGUAGUCAUAACUCUUGUAAGAGCCUAAGUGAAGAACUUCGUGACUAUUAUGAAGGAAGGCAUAGGUCACAUCUUAGACCUCACUCCCAUAGGAGAGAAAAUGAAAGAAAGCCUCAAGAGGCUAACAUUAACCUCCCAUACUUCCAUGGGAAGGACAAUGUAGAGGCUUACUUAGAUUGGGAAAUAAGGGUAGAGCAAAAACUUAAAAAAAAGUCUACUUUAAAAUCUUAUGGCUCUCAUUCUUAUCCAAAGAAAGACCAAGGUCUAGGCAUCUUAAGGGUAGCACCUUCUAAGCCCAAAGAUGAUAAGAGGAAGACAAUAGAAAAGCAACCCCCUAAGGCUAGUAUGCAAGAAAAGAUUAGCUUUAUAAAGUGCUUUAAAUGUCUUGGAAGGGGACACAUUACUUAUCAAUACCCCACCAAGAAAACCAUGAUUAUGAGGAGCCAAGACAUUUAUAGUAGCCAAGAUGAGGCUACUCUUUACCUUCUUCGAGUGAAAGUGAAGAAGCAAAAGGGGAAAAAUCUAGUGAAGAAAUCUACCCCCAAGAAGAAGGACAACCUUUAAUGGUUAAGGAGGAGUGUAAGAAGGUAAGUGUCUCCUCUAAAAGGUUAGCUAAGAAGGGAAAGACAUUUUGCAAUAAAGACAAAUAUUAAAGAAACUUUCCCUCUUAGACAACCUCCACAUUUUCUCCUUUGUAAAAAGACACUUGUUAGCAUUGGCACAUCUCUUGGGCUUGAGUUUAUUCCUCAAGUAAAGGAGUUGAUGGAUGAGGGUUUGGUUCGCAAGAGCUUAAAUCCUUGUGCUUUGUUGGUGCCCAAAAUAGGUAUUAUUAGGCACCAAAUCCCUAAAAUAGGUGGUAUGAUGAAUGUUUUGAGUGGUGCAACCCUCUUUUGUAAAAUCACUCGUGCACCCAACAUCUUCAUGAUUUGUGUACAUAGGGACUCAUUAGGUAGGUUUGUUCUUUUUUUUAGUUUCAAUACAAACUUAGGUACUCAUAUGGGACACCUUAGGUUUGAAAUACUUUUUGUUAGGAAUAAUCAACAUGAAAAUAUAGAAAAAUGUAUGUUUUAUUGCAUUACUUUUCUUAAUUUUUUAAAUAGUGAUCAAAGGGUUCCCAUGAACCCUAAGAGAAUAAAGGUCAUUCCUGAGUGGCCCACUCCACCAAGUAUAAGAAAAAUUUGGGGUUUCCAUGACUUAACAAACUUUUACAAAAGGUUUGUCCCAUAUUUUUCUAUACUUGUAGCACCACUCAUUGAGUUGGUGAGGAACCAUGUUCCUUCAUGGGAAGAUGCCCAGGAAAUGGAUUUUCAAAUCUUACCUUACUUCAACAUACCAAACACCACUAAUAUAUAUGUUUUUGUUCUUUUUACAGGAGUUGAGGAAAAAAGCCCAGAGUUUCAAGAAUCUCGAGAUUUGAGAUCAAAUCCUUUUCAAGGGGGAGGGAAUGAUGCAAUCCUACCCUGCAAGGGCAUUGGAUAGAAGACUCCAAGUAGAUUGGGCCAGAGAUGCAAGAGAAGACCCUAAGGUUCUCGAGCCCAUGGGCUAAGUAUGAGCCCACUUAUCUUUGUACAUAUUAUAUUAAGGUUUCAUUAUUUUUGGGCCUUGUAUUUAGGGCUCCAUAAUGUAGGUAUGGUAUCCUAGAAAUGUAGGAUUUUUCAGCCCUUGUAUUUUAGGGCACCUAGACUAGUUUUUGUAUUAGGGGUAGUUUUGUAAUUUCACAUGCAUUAAGUGAAUAUUUGAUGUGUGUGUUGGAAAAUAAAUUUAAUUGAAUUGGGAGAAGCCCAAUCCAAUUAAAUUUUAGAGGGGAAGGUGAGCAUUUGCUUACUACACCCCAUUGCCACAUCAUAUAGUCACACUUUGUGCAUGUCCUUCAUGCUUUACAUGCCUCAUGACACCUACGCACACUUAGUGAAGAAUCUUGGACUUGAUCUUGGAUUAGUAGGCUGAACCAUAACUAAAAGUCACUAAUCAUAAUUAGUAAAAUUUUGGCUCCAAAAUUUGGCUCCACAAAUUCAAUUUCAAAUCCAAGUGAAAUUUGAAUAGAAAUUCAAAUUUCCCUCCAAUUUUGUGUGACACUUAGGCUAUAAAUAGAGGUCAUGUGUGUGCAAUUUUUUUCAACUUUGAUCAUUUGAAAAUUAAACUUCAGAUUUCAGAGCUCUUUUAGAGCACAAAAUUUCGUCCUUUUCUCUUCCUCUCCCUCCAUUCAUCUCUUUCUUCCUCCAAGCUCUUAUCCAUGACCUCUUAUGGUGAUGAACUUCUUCUAGACUCAUCUUCUCCUUGAAGUGGCGUCUCCUCUCUCUCUUCCUUCUCCAUUUCACUGCCAUUCAUCUUCCAAGAAGCAAAUGAAUCUAUUGAUGAAGAAGAUCCUAGGCCUACAAACUCCAAUGGAGCUUACAUCACUGUGGGUCUUUCAACUUGGUUAUUUUAGGAGGCUAAUUUGGCUACUUGGCAAGUCAAUUGAAUACUCAAAGCGAUUAAAAUGCUUGUUGUGAAGUUAUAAUCUUGCUUUUAUUAAAAGGAGGUAUUUGACUAUUAGACUAGUCGAAUACCCUUUCAGUACAGUAGAUAAUCACAAAGUUUUCCAAGUGUAUUUAUAAUUCCUAUUUUUCUUAAAACCAUAAUGUGAUCAAAAGUGGGGCUACCCACUGCCAAGUAAAAUUGAAGGCAUCCUUCUCAACCAACCAUUGAUUGUGACAUUGAGAAUUCAGUAGGACUUAUUGAUUGUCAAACAUGAUACAAAACAGAACACAUUAAAAGGAAAUGAUUUGUUGAUUCAAAAACAUUAUAGAAACAUAGCAUUUAAGAGUUUUCUUUUGGUGAGAUUCCUCUCUUGAGAAGAUUAUAUUUUCUGGGGAGUUUAUUAAGAACCACCUUUUGAGAAGCAGAGGAAGUGUAUAUAGAUUGUCAAACAAUAUACUAACUUCUGAAGAGCCUUGUUGUUGAAGCUUUUAAUUUGUAUGCUGGCUUUAUUGUGUAAGACAUAUAUGGAUGCAUCUAUCUUCUAAAGCUCGGGUCUGAUUGAUCUUCACAUACUAAUGCACUGUUAAUUAUAAAACAAAUCAAAGUGUUUACUAAAUCCUUUUCUCAUUCCAGCAAGUUUCAAUGCUAAAAUAGAUUCCACUUCCAAGCACCAUUUUUUCCAUGCACUGGCCACUUCAUUGACUUUUGCCUCCUCGGUUGUACAGAUGAGAAACAUGUCAAAAAGAUCUUUUGAACCUAGCUUCUACCAAUUUAUCAACUAUAAUAGUAGGUACCACACUCCUAUUUCCUAUUUUGAUGGCUACUUCCUCUUUAAACCAUUUUUUCUCGCACUCUCACCAUUCUGACGCCAUAGUUUCCUCUUUAUUUAACUCCCACUUUACAUAUUUUUUGAGACUAUAAUCAUGUUCAAUAAAACCUAUCCCUGGACUACUAAGUUUUAUUUUUAAUUCUCCAUAGGAGCUAAUUUAGUCGAAUAAUUCAAAGUCUCUCACCCUUAAUCCUCCCUCUUUUAAUUUCACUAGCGUACUCUUUCUCUUUUGACCCAAACCACUUCUGAUGAAUCCUCAUAAUUACUCCAACAAAUUUAUAAUAUGAAUUAUAAAAAAUAUUACACCACCAUUCCAACAUAAACGUCGUCCUAGUUUAUUUUACAGAAUAAAAAAAAUAAUAAGUAUAUAAAAGAGAAUAAUAAAUUUAUAAAACUAACUUUAUUAUAUAGAUAAAAAAGAAUAAUAUUAAUAUUAUAUUCAAAAACUAAAAUAACAUUUAUUACGAGCAUGAUGAAAAAAAGUAAUUAAUAUUACAUUAAAAAUUAAAUGGGAUAAGAAUAAUUUGUUUUUACUAAAUGCUGCACUUAUUUUAGGACAAAUGUAGUAUUAUUACAUCCGUCUCUAUAUAUAAGAUUUUUUCAAUUAAUUUACGUGUUUAAAAAAGUAGUUAAUUUAAUUAAGUACAUUAAAUUUAUUAAUAAUUUAUACUAUUUUUCAAAAUUAUCAUUAAUUUCUCUUUUCACUUAAUUAUUUCUCACCUAAUUAAUUAAUGUGAUUUCUUCUAUUCUCACAUUCUAAUAAGAGAGAAAGUUCGUAUAGGAAUGAAAUAGGUAAUUAAUGCACUAAACAAUUAAAAGAAAGUUUUAUAAAAAUGAAUAAAUAAUAAAAUAAAAUGUAUCUUAUAUAUGGAAACAAAGAUAGUAUUUCUAACUAACGAGACUAUUGUUUUGCUUUUCUUUUAGAGGGUAUUUUAGGAUAUUAAUUAAUAAACUAAAAAGAAAAAUAAUUAUUGUGUAAAUCAUAAGAAAAUAAAAAAAAAUUAUAAAUAAUAUAAUUUUUAUGUUUUCCAAUAAAAAUAUUUUAUUUUAAAUUCUUUAACCAAGGUAUUUGCCGCAAUUGUUAGACUUUGCUCUUUUUAAUUGUCGUAUGAGAGGUGGAGGAUGCAUGCACUUUAGCGAUUCUCCAUCCUGGAACUCAAUCCUCACGUGUAAUUUGCAAGCGUUGGCGGUGUGGUCAUUCCCAAGGAAUAUCUGUUCUCGUUAACUUUGCACUUUUUGGCCCUUAAUCAUACUGUACCUCCAAGAUCAAAAUCGUAAUUAAACAUUUAUGCAAAUUUUAUAUAUAUAAAAAAUCUAAUAAGUAUUUUUAAAAUAUUGGUUAAAUAAUUGAAAGAAAAAUAUUUUUAUUGAGAUAAGUAAAAUUAUACUGUUAGAUGACUUUUUUAACUCUUUUAUAAUUUUCAUAAUAAAUAUUUUUUCUUUUAAAUAUCUUAACUCAUUGACUAACAAGAAAAUAAAAAAAAAUAAAAAAUUUACCCACAUCAAAGUGAUGGAAUCAUAAUAUAAGUGUAAAUGUGAUCUCGUGACCUUCCAAAAUUGUAUGUAUUUUUUAAUAUUUAAUUUUUUAUAUUAAAACUCUAGCUUUUAGUGAAUCAGUGCAAAACUUAUUAUGAUCAUGUAGGAACUGUAGACGACCUCAAAAGAAAAAAAAUGAAGUAACUGUAGACUACAUAUAUUAAUUAAAUUUGUUAUCAUGUAUGUGUUAGGUUAGGGAUGACAUAUAGUAACUGUAGACUACAUUGUCCCGAUUCUCAUUAAGGAAUAUUAUUUUACUCUUGUGCCUGUUCUUUGAUUCCAAGCAAAGACCCUGAAAUUAUUCAAAACAAAAAAAAAAAAUCUUACUCUAGUCCUUUAAAUUAUAUAAAUUAGAUAUUUUAAUCCUGAAAAUUUUAGAAAUAUUUAAUUAACUUAUUAAUAUACUUCCUUUAUGGGCUGAUAAAAAACUUAUUAUUAUUAUUUUUUUAAAAAGUCAUUAUUAUAAUCUUUUACGACUGUAUUUUUAUUCGUUUUGAAUAAAAAAGGAAAAAAAUUAAAUGGCAUUUUAUAAAAAUAAAGAGUGAAAAAAAUCAGAGAUUAAAAUAUAACUCAUACAAUUUUAAUGAUUUAGAUAAUAAUAAAAUAAUAAAAGGGCUAAAGAAUAAUCAUAUGACCCAUAUAUAUAUGAGAGAGAGAGAGAGAGAGAGAGAGAGAGAGAGAGAGAGAGAGAGAGAGAGAGAGAGAGAGAGAGAUUGUAGAAGUAGUUUAAGUAAAAUUUAUGUAAAUCCUUUCAAGUAUCCUCUUAUGUAUACAAUUAUUAAAAGUAAUUAUGUAAUUUUUAUGUAUAAAGAUUCUGCCGAAAAAAUACUUUUUUCUUCUCAAUCUCUCCAUCGAUCUAAAUAUGUUUCAUAGAGUUCUAAAAUCCUUGUUUUCAGAGGAGGAAAAAAAAAUGAAUUUGAAGUUUCAAUCAAAAAAAUUUAAAGUAUUUCUAAAUUAAGGGAAAAAAUUGUCAUCUAUGUAUUAGAUAAUUAAUUAAGGGGAUUUAGAAUUAUUUUUUCAUAUUUAAUUUACUUAGUGUUAUUAAAUAACAUUGAGUCUUGUGGAUAUAAAACAUAAUUAGAAGGAGAAACCUUAAAAAAAAUAGUUAAAUAGGUUCUCUAAAAUUAUCAUCAGUAAAAUUAAUAGAUACUCGACAUCAAUAUUAUGAAGAUAAAAAAAUAUAUUGAUAAAAAAAUGUUGACUUCGUCUCAUUUUUAUGUCUAAUUUUUUAAGUGUUAGCUUUCCAAAAAAAGUACUCUUAUUUAUUAAUAUUGUUUUAAAAUUUAAAAUAAUACCAAUUAUAUAUUAUUGAUAAUUAUAUAUAUCUUUAUCUUUAUGAUUUAUUUUAUAAAUUUAUCAUAAAAUUAAAUAGAAAGAAAUAAAAUAAAAAGUAACAAAAUUAAUCAAUAAAAUAAAUAAAAGGCACAACAGAAAACUAGAUAACAAUUUUAAGAAACACAAGAACAUUAGUUAUAAUUUUUAUUUUCUGUGUCACAACCUUAAACAACAUUUAUAAAAUAGAAGUAGUAAUUUUAUAAGGAUAAAAAUUGAAGUGAUUAGGUACUAGUAAAACUAUUUUUAGUUAAAAUGCAAAUUUUAGUUAGAUUAUUCGCAUCAAGUUUUAAUACUAAACUAUUAGUGAUUAAUGAGACAAUUCUGAGUUUAUUUGAUAAACAAUAUCAUAAAUAUGCAAAGAUUAACUACUUAAUUGAAAGACUAUAUAAAUAUCUAUUUAUUGAAAGUUGUACAAAUAAUAGUAAGGGUUAAAAUUUAAUGUGAAGGUGGAAUAUCUUACAUUAAGAAUAAAUAGAUAAGUUGAGUAACACAUAAGUGAGAAAGACUCAUAAACCUCAUGUCUUAUGAUUUUAUGUUAAAGGUGAUGUCAAAUUCACUUAUUAUCUACUUGUAUAUUUGGUCUAUUAGUGAAGAUUUUUCCAGUGUUUUAUUCCCCUAGAUUAGAAUCAAUGGUUUGAUCUGGUGAACUUGUGCAAAUAUAAUGGAAUUAGUGGUGGAUUCACGCAUGAAAAUUUUUUAUAUCGAAAGUCUUCUUAAUGGUGGGUAUAGGAAUCGAAAAGUUCUCACAAUAACAUCGAAAUUGGACUAUAUGUCUCGCUAAUGUGAAUUAAUGGCGAUGCAAGUAUCUAGAAUGUCAUCAUUGAAUACUUGCAGAUUAAAAAAAAGUUUCCGCUUGAGGGAGAACUACCAUAUGUAAAAAAUAUUCAUACUUAAGAAGAAUUGUUAGAAUUCAAAUGUGAAGGUGAAAUCAAACAUUAGGUAAAAAUAAAUAAGUUGAGUAACAUAUAUGUGAGGAAGACUCACAAAUGUGAUUCCUUUAAGUUUGGAGAUGAAGAUAAUGUCAAAUUUACUUGUGUGUGGUGUGCUUGUAAUCCAUUGUUAAAAAUCUCUAUGAUGUUUUAUCUCUUUUAGAUUCCCAAUAGUCUUUAUUCAUAAUUUUAUAGUUUUUAAUAAAAUUUAAUUAAUAUUUGUUGUAAGAAUGGUGGAUCUAAGCUCUGAUACGGUGGUUCGAGGCUCCCAUGCGUUGUGUAAGAGAUUUGGAGUGGUAGAUUUGAGUAGAUCUUAGAAGAGUGUAGGGAGAAGAAGCCAAGUUUGGGUUUGUAUCCAGAAUAUUAAGUUAGCCCUGUAGUUUGUUGUUGAUAGGCUUAUAUAGUCAUUUUCAGCGGGAAAAUCCAUUAGAUGCCCAUGGCCACGUGUAUCCAGUGGUUGUCAACGGGCAAAGUUUAUCCCUUGUCAGUUGCUAAGCGUCGGCGAUGCUCAAAGAUCUCGACGGAGGCAUCUCAAGAUACCUAGGUCUGAGAUACAUCUCUAACAAUAUUAGAGAAUGUAUUAAAAAAAAUAUUAUUAAUAUUUUUGUGUGUGAGUGUGUGCAUUAUCUGCAUUCUUUCGUUUCUCAUAAUAUCAUCCCUAACUAUUUGGAUUUUAACAUUACCGACAUAAUAGCAUGUAGAAAAUGCCCAGCCGACACCUAAAAGGCAUGAAGAAAUAUGAUGUGGUUGAGCAAUGCUUUGUCGUUGAUUGAUUUGUCAAAUGUUUAUUUGUUUCCUUUAGAAAAUAAGUGUGCAAUAAUACAAUAACGAAAGGGACCUCAAUACAAUAUAACUUGUUUCUCAGAAAAAGAAAAUAAUAUCUAUAUACAUCGGAGAGGAAUCAAAUUAUUAGUCAUUGCUUUAAUUAUAAUUCAAAGUUUCUAUAAUAAAACUACUAAACUGGGUCACGUGACUGUAAAACACAUAUAGCUUAUUUUUACUUAAGAGGAAAACACAUAUAUACCUCCUCAAUAAAACUCUGGAUCUCUAAGAUCGUCAUCCUUAAUCACACAGCUCAAUAUUGUGGUCACGAGUUAUAUAGCUAAUCACGUGAGGCACCUUUGCAUACUUGAUAACGAAAAAUUGCUUGAUGGAUUAUUCGUUGGUGAGGAAACUAUUUUAUACCAUGAUGAAUUUCGUUUGAAUAUCUGAAUGGGCUAGAAGCAAAUCAUUGAGGUAUAGAGAUCGUAUGUGUUAUAUUCGAUCGCUUCUAUGUAAAAUUUUAAGUAUAUAUCAAAUUGCCUUGAUUUUGUCUAGUUUUUGUGCUACGUACCCUGCUAUCUAGGAAUAGUGGCCUUGAUUGCUGUAAAUGAGGUUGUGAUGAUGGGGGUUUUAAUCUGAAAUUGCCGCAUGAGAUAAAAAUAUUGGAUUAUUGUUGAGUAGAGAAAUUUAUUGAGGCUAUGCGAGGAAGAAAGGAAAUUGCUUGAAAUUUUGAAUAGAAGAGAGAAGCUAAUAUAGAGAAUGAGGAUUUGAGUCUAAUUCAAUUUCAAAAAUUAAUUAGUUUAUAGGGUGAAAGUUAUCUUUAUUUAUAUAAUCUAUCUUGACCUCUAGCCGAUGUGAAACUUGAGAUUUGUUUUUCAAAUACUCCCCCUCAUGUCCAACACUUUUGGGCUUAGUGUGUGGAUAACAUGAUGGGUGACUCGUUUAAUGGAUUUAAGAUAUGUUUUAAUACCAUUUUAAAAUGUGGGUAUGAGCUUAUCUAAAACCCAAAUACUAGUUCAUGGGCUGAGGGUUACUCCCAUUUAUAUAGUCUAUCUUGACACUAUCUCUAGUCAAUGUGGGACUUGGGUUUUCCAAUAUUAAUUACUCUAAAUCACAAUCAAUAAUCUUCGAAGAAUUUCCUUUAUUCUAAAAUAAACUAUGUUUAAGACCUUUUACAUAUAUUAAGGAAAAUAAGGCUGAAACAUGUGUUUUUGUCCUUAUAAAAUUGGUAAAGUUUCAUUUUUGUCCCUUCGAAAAAUUUCGUUCUUGUUGCGUUUUCAUCAUUCGAAGUAAGGGGGAGUAAGAACUUUUGCUCGUAAGUAUGGCAUUGGCCUACAUGACGAAGCAUAACCAUGCUUCACGUAAGCAGGGACAUUCGAAAGGGAAACAAAAUAGAGUAAGACUUUAGGAAUUAUAGUCUAUCUUGACACUACCUCUAGUCAAUGUGGAACUUGAGUUUUCCAAUAUUAAUUACUAUAAAUCACAAUCAAUAAUCCUCAAAUUUCCUUUAUUCUAAAAUAAACUAUGUUUAAGACCUUUUACAUAUAUUAAGGAAAAUAAGGCUGAAACGUGGUUUUGUACUUAUAAAAUUGGUAAAGUUUCAUUUUUGUCCCUUCAAAAAAUUUUGUUCUUGUUGUGUUUUCGUCAUUCGAAGUAAGGGGGAGUAAAAACUCUUGCUCGUAAGUAUGGCAUUGGCCUACAUGACAAAGCAUAACCAUGCUUCACGUUAGCAGGGACAUUCGAAAGGGAAACAAAAUAGAGUAAGAUUUUAGGAAUUAUAAUCUAUCUUGACACUACCUCUAGUCAAUGUGGGACUUGGGUUUUCCAAUAUUAAUUACUAUAAAUCACAAUCAAUAAUCCUCGAAGAAUUUCCUUUAUUCUAAAAUAAACUAUGUUUAAGACCUUUUACAUAUAUUAAGGAAAAUAAGGCUGAAACAUAUGUUUUUGUCCUUAUAAAAUUGGUAAAGUUUCAUUUUUGUUCCUUCGAAAAAUUUCAAUCUUGUUGUGUUUUGGUCAUUUGAAGUAAGGGGGAGUAAGAACUCUUGCUCAUAAGUAUGGCAUUGGCCUACAUGACGAAGCAUAACCAUGCUUCACGUAAGUAGGGACAUUCAAAAGGGAAACAAAAUAGAGUAAGAUUUUAGGAAUUAUGCACGACCAUGCUUCACAACAAAAUUACCACUUUGGAAUGUAUGCAUAGAAACUUGAUGUGUAAAAUAUAUUUGCACAAGGGCAAGCAUACCCUAUACAAAAGUUAUAGUGGGCCGAAGUCCAAAUAUCAUACCCAAAGGAUCAGUUGUAUUCCCAUAAUAAUUUAAUUUUCAAUAAACUAAACAAUUUGGGCUUUCAUCGAUAGUUGAAAGAUUUGUGUUUAAUUACUUUGUAGAAAAUACUACUCUAGAAUAAUGAGAGAGACAGUGCAAUGAAAUUAUAGAUGAAAAGGCUUGGGGCUAUGAUUAAAUCUCACAAAAUGAAUUUCUCUAAUUCUACAUUAGUAAAUUUCUCAAUGUUUAUCAAUUACUGACUUCUCUUAAGGUUGCUCAAAGGUUUUUGCCAAACACUUUCAACAAUCUUUCUCUUAAUUUAGUUCUAAUUUGGUAAUUAAGAAAUAAAUUACGACAAAGCAUAAACACAUAAAGAAUGACAAUCAGAAAUACCUAAAAUAUGUUUGGUCAAUCAUUAUUCUAAAGGAUUCAGUUGUUCUAUAAUUGCUAUUCAUAUGAAGUCGAUCACAAACACACAAAUAAAUAAAAUAUAGAUUGACCAAGUCUAAUGAGAAAUUAAGCACAAUAUAACAACAUAAUUGACUGAAUAAAAAUAUUUUAAAUUAAGUAAAAUUGGGGUUCAUCUGCAGAUUACAUCAUAACCCUAGAAAAUAAGGGUUUAGCCAGCCAUAGGCACAAACAAGCAAAACAAUAACCUCAUAUGCAUGAGAAAGAUAAGGGAGUAAGAAAAAUUACAAUUAGAAGCCCCAACAAUCUUCUCGUGUUCUUCCCAAUUCAAAAGAGAUCUCACACUAUGCCUAGGUCACUCACAAAGUCAAUUUUUGUACACAACGUAAAAUAUAUCUACUUUCAUUUUCCUCUUUCUAUUUAUAGUACAAAAUUAGAGUGUUUGUCAUGGAAGGAAGCACGAUCAUUCUCGAAAAAUUAAAGCCUGAUUGUGAAAUUUGGAGAAUAAUCAUCCUAGAUGAGAACAAUUGUUCUUGAAAAAUUUGAUGUUGUUUCCCAAUUUUUGAAAAUCAGAGCAUGGGUGGGCUGGAAGGAACAUAGAUGUGCUGGAAUAAGCACGACCAUUUUCCCAAAUAGCAUGAUCGUGCUCUUCGUCAUGGUUUUUGUUUAACUUUUUUUCAGCCUUUUUUUUGUGAGUUUUCCUCUUUUUUCAACUUUUGGUCUGUUUGCGUCACACUUUAAAGAAGUCCAUGAGUUUUGCCAACAAAUUAAGUAUAAAAAAAACAUGCAAAACACAAGGCUAAAAUUCUUAUCAAAUAUCACACAAAUACCAGUUUAUCAACCUCCCCACACUUGAACAUUGAUUGUCCUCAAGCAAUUAUUCUGAUUUAAAUAUUAAAAUUGGUUUCUCUUAAUCCAAGAAAUCAUUCCAUAGAGCCACAAAAUUUGUUUUUUAUUAACACUCAACAUAAAAUAGAAUAGACAGACAACAUAGAGUUCAAGAUUUUUUCCCUAGGAACUUCAAUAGAUUUUCAAUUCUAGUUGGAUGUCAAGUUUCAAAGAGCAACAUAUCACUUUUCUCACCACAAUCAUAAGCACUCAGAUCACACUUAAGAAGUGUGAAACUCCAUCUAUCUGUCAAUCAACUUGAUAACUGCAAAAUUUGAGUUAAUUUGAUAAUCAAUUUUGGCCAUGAAUGAUUGAAAUUUCUUCACUUUACUGUUGUUUUUAAUGAAAUAAUAAAGAAAUUAAUAUCUUCAGAAUUUUUUAUUGGCAUAAUUCAAAAGAAAAAGAUUUCAAGUGCUUUAUAGGAAAAUUGAUACCAAAACUAGAAGAAAGAGCCUUGAAGAAAAGUUGGAAGAAGUAGAUAGCUCGCUUAGUGCAUAAUCCAGGCUUAGUGUGCACUCGUGCUUAGCGGGCAACCUCAAGCUUAGUGCGAAGAAAGCCCAAAACGAAGCUCAAAGGCGCGCUUAGUGUGAAAGCCCGCGCUAAGCACAAAGUCAGCAUGAAAAGUAAGCUACCUGGAGCCUAUAUAAGGAGGAAGAAGCUGAAGGGAAAAACACACCAAGUCUCAAAGGUUUCUAUUGAAGAUAUCCAAACCCUGAGCCUAUCCUUUAUGGGAAACCCUCCAUCUCUAGCCAUUCCUCUCUUUCUUGCUUUUAGUCAUUCAACCCCUUCUUCCAUCCACAUUAGCCCCUAAAGUGUAAAGUCUCUCAUGGCUAUGAGAGGCUAAACCUCCACUGUUGGGAGCCUAGCAAUCAAUGCCCUUGUAAUGCAACUAUUCUCAUUAUCUAUUAAUGUAAUUUUAGUUUCUAUUGUCUCUUUUCUGCUCUUCAUCUUUAUUGUGUGGUCUAGCCAUCCAUGCAUUAGUUUUUAGGGGUUAUACAUUGGGAAAUGGUAAUUUCUAAAGAACUAGAAAAGGGGAUCUAAACAAAUCAUUGUUAGGGAUAAAGUGACUUUGUUUUGCCUCUGCAUACAUCUCCAUGCUUAAUGUAAUUUACUAUUCAAUCUUUACAAAGGGAUUUGGGAGAGAGAAUAGAUAUAUUAGGCUCUUCAUUGUGAGGGAUCAGGGUUGAGUGUCUUAGUAGAUGUGGGUCGAAAUUGGGAAAACAUUUAAUAGAAAAAAACAUUAAUAUUGCAUCAAGGGUAGUUAGGCAUGCUAGGCCCCAACAUAUUUAAAUAUUGAAGUUAUCUCUUGCAUUAAUCUUGUUUAUUUUAUUAUUCUUGUCUUUUUAAUUUCAAAUUGUUUCCUUCUUCUUAUCUCUAUUAUAAUCUCUUGCUUGCAAAUUGGGUAUUCAUCAACGCAAGUACAAACAAAGUUCAUGUGGAUUCGACACUCGGUCUUCCGUUUAAACUUUACUACUUGUGAAAAAUUGGUACACUUGCCAACAAGUUUACACAAGUAAACUCAAACAACAAUCUAGAAAGCAUGAAAGUGAGGCAUCACAAGGUGUAAUAGGGUCAGACUGCAAUGUAAGGCAGGUAAAGAACAAAUAUGAUAACAAAAAGGCUCAUCAAUACCCCAACUUAGACUUAGUGACACAAACUGAGGAUACAAAAGCUUUAUCUAAUUAGCAAUAUCCCAAAAUCAUUUCCUUUUGAUCCCUUACUUCUUCUAUUUAUUUUCCUUAUGUGACUUUUUUUAAGAAGAAGAAGAAGAAAUUAAAAAAAAAAUCACAUUGGCAUAAAAAUAACAUAUGUACCGCAAUAAUACAAGUUGUGGGAUGGUUCAAAUAGUGCACAGUGAAAACCCCUCCCUACACUUAAGAGAUACAGUGUCCCUAAUGCAAAAAGCAUAAAACUAAAGCAUAACUUGAAAAUAGAGAAGGAACAAAGAAAACAAGAUUUAUUAAAAAUACAAAGAUUUUAAAUUUUCUAUGCCUACUAAUGCAAAAUAAAAAGGUAGAAAAAAAAGGAUAUGCCUAGCUCAAAGGCCAGUGCAUUCACAGGUUUCCUCCUAUAUAGCGCUUGUUUUUUGUCCCGAGCCUGAUGGUUGAAAGAGAGAUAAAUCAACCACCCUUGAAUAAGGUAAUGUCCUUUUCUCACAACAAUCCCUUAGCAAGGUCAUCCACUCUAUAGCUAAGUGCUUGAGUGGUGGUUCCAUCUCUAUCCCUCAUGCCACUUCAAAGGUUUUUUGGAAUGAUGUUUUCUUCCAAAGUGUUUUCCUUCCCACACUUGGCUGAUGCCUAGCCACAAUGACUUCCAUGUUUUUAGUGACUAGCACAAAAUUGCAGGAAAGUAAAGAGAAAGAUCUUUUUGCUUAAUCAAACACCUUAAACACUUCCUUCUCAUCACCUAGCCUCGAUGUCAAUUUCCCUUCUUGGACAUCAAUCAAGGCCCCUCCUAUGUUAACGAAAGGUCAUCCCAAAAUAAUUGGGAUUUCUUCAUCCUCCUCUAUAUCAAAAAUUACAAAGUCAGCUAGGAAAAUGAAUUUGUCAACCUUGACCAAUAAGUUUUGCAUUACCCGUUGUGGGUAAGUGAGGGUCCUAUCUACAAGUUGAAGAUAGACUUUAGUAGGUAGAAGUUCUUGCAACCCCAACUUCUUAAACACAAAAUAAGGCAUUAAAUUGAUACUAACACCUAAAUCACACAAUGUUUUAUCAAACAACAAGUUUCCUAUAGUAUAGGGAAUUGAAAAACUUCAUGGGUCCUUAAGCUUAGGAGUCAAUUUCUCUAAAACAACAACAUGACAUUCCUCAUUGAGACCAAUUAAUGCAAAGUCUUCCAAUUUCUUUUUGUUUUAAAUGAUUUCCUUUAAAAACUUGGAAUACUUUGGCAUUUCAGCAAUUGCCUUAGUGAAAGGAAUGUUAACAUGUAAUUUCUUAAACAUUUCAACAAACUUAGAAAGCCACUUAUCCUUCUGCUCAUUUCUCAUUCUCUAAGGAAAAGGAACACUUACCUGAGGAGGUGCCAAUACCCUUUUUUCACCCACUUUUUCUAUCUUGUGACUUUCUUCAGUGAGAGCCUCUUUUUCUAGUGUUGGAGUGGCUUUCUUUGUCUUCUUCGACUCUACCAUAGGCUUUCCGAUGCUGGUGCUCACUACAUUAAACUCCUCAUUCUUAGGAUUAACCUCUAUUUGAGAAGGAAGAGUCUUAGGAGCUCUUUGGGACAAAAGAUCUUUCAUGGUGGAGAGUUGAGUCUCCAUGAACUUCAUGUGCUCAUCAUUCUUGGCUAUAUAUUGGAUCAUAACAUCUUCCAAUGAUGGCCUUCUCUCUUCCUUCCUUGGCCUCUAAUUCUACAUAUGUGGUGGCAUAUACACAUUAUGAUUUUGCUCUGCCUAGGACCUUGGUUGAAUGUAUUAAAGUAAGGAUCAUAUCCUAUACUCUGUACACCAGCAUAGUUUACUUCCUCCAUGGCAUGUGCAAGUGCAUUACUCACUGGGCAUUCUCUUCCUCUAUGAGCCUCCCACACUUACCACAAGAGGGAGGUGAUAGUGUGGAAGCUAGAACCUAUGUCUGCACUCUCAUCAUAGUCUCCAUUUACUUGGUCGGCAUUUGGAGUUUUUGUUCAAUGCCUGAGCUGGAUGCUUCUACCUCCACUUGUUUCACCAAUCUCCUCACAAUCCUCUUAUCCCUAUAAUUUUUGUAGGGAUUAGAAGGCAUAUCUUCAAUGAUCUUGGUAGCUUCAACAUGAGAUUUCCUCCAUAAGCCGCAUCGACGCUUGUCCUAUUAUGAGAUGGCACUCCUCCAUAGAAAAUAUGUACAAAUUUUUGUGGGUUGAAACCAUGAUGUGGGCAACUCCGGAGCAACUCCCGAAACCUCUCAGAUGCUUGAGCCAAACUCUCCUGCUCCUUCGACACAAAAUUCUCAAUAUCUCUCUGUACUUAAUCAAUCUUAACUAUAAAGAAAUAUUUCUGAAGCAACUUAUUAGCGCAUUUCUCCUAAGUCGUGGUAUUGUGCUCGGGUAAAGCACAAAGGAAAUCCCAAGCUUUCCCAUUGAGUGAAACUGGAAAAACAUUCAAUCUCACAUACUUUCUAGGCACGUUUUGCACAUUGAUGGUGCUAGUCAACCUCAGGAAUCCUUUCAGGUGUGCCAUGAGUUUUUCAGAGGUUGCCCUAUGGAACUAAUUGCUUUCUAUCAUCAUCAAGAAACCAUAUCUCAUGUCAAAAUUGACUCUUGCCUCCAAAGUUGGCAACAAUAUGUUGUUAGCUACCCUCACUUGAGGAGCGAGAUAAUCUAACGGGGUCUACUCCACCUGCUCAUUGACAACAACCUCAUUCCCAUUACCUCAUCCAUUUCCAGCCAUGUCUCGUCUCCUCUGUUUAGCUCUAUUCUUGCAAGCAACUUUCUCGAUCUCAAGUUCGUGCAAGAGUUCAGGCCUCAGGGACUUAGUUAGCAUGCACUGAAAAUAAAAGAAAAGGAAUUAAACGCAAUUGAAAAUAGAAAAAAAUAAAAAUAACACAAAAUUAAAAAUUUUAGGAUUUAAAUAAUUGAAAUAAAGAUAAAUUAAAAUAGAAAAUUAAAGAAAAAUAAAAGCUAUAAACACUAUGAAUAGAAAUUUCUUGGUUCACACAAAAUGAAUUAUCCAAGAACUCUGCAAAUAGUCCCUGAUAAUGGCACUAGAAACUUGAUGCAUAAAAUAUGUUCACACUAGGGCAAGGGUAGCCUAUACAGUAGUUAGAAUGGACUUAAGUUCAGAUAUCGUACCCAAAGGACUAGUUGUGUUUCCAUAACUAUUCAAUUUGCAAUAAACUAAGCAUUUUCAAUUUUUUUUAUCAAAAGUUGAAAGACUUAUGUUCAAUUACUUUGUAGAAAACAAUACUCUAGAGUGAUCAAAGACAAUGCAAUGAAAUUAUCAAAUAAGAAGGCGUAGGGCUAUGACUAAAUCUCACAAUUGAAUCCCCUCAAUUCUACGUUAAUUGGCCACACACUUUUAACAAUCUUUCUCUUAAUUUAGUUCUAAUUUGGUCAAUUAAAAAGUAAAUUACGAGAAAACAUAAGUGUAUAGAGAAUGAAAAUAAAAAAUCCCUAAAAUAUGUUUGGUCAAUCAUUAUUCUAAAUGACUUAGUUGUUGUAUAAUUUUAUUAUUCAUACGAAGCUGAUCACAAAUGCACAAUAACUAGAAUAUAGAUUGAUCAAGUCUAAUGAGAAAUUAAGCAUGAUAGAACAAUAUAAUUGACUAAAUAAAAAUAAUUUUAAAUUAACUAAAACUGGGGUUCAUCUAUAGAUUACAUCAUAACCCUAGAAAAGAGGGGUUUAGUCGGCCAUAGGCACAGACAAGCAAAACAAUAACCUCAUAUACACGGGAAAGAUAAGGGAGUACGAAAAAUUACAAUUAGAAGCCCCCAUAAUCUUCCUCACAUUCUUCCCAAUCCAAAAGAGAUCCUACACUAUGCCUAGGUCACUCACAUAGUGAAUUUUCUUACACAACAUAAAAGAUAUCUACUUUCAUUUUCCCAUUUCUAUUUAUAGUACAAAAUUAGAGUGCCUGACAUGGAAGGGAGCACGAUCAUGCUGAAUAGAGGCACAACCAUUCUUGAAAAAUAGCAACUCUGAAAUCCCAAUUGCGGAAUUCGGAGAACAACCAUCUUAAAGGCGUUAUGGGGGUGUUCUAGAUGAACAUGACUGCUCUUGAAAAAUUUGACAUUGUUUCCCAAUUCUUGAAAAAUCAGAGCAUGGGUGUGCUAGAAGUACCAUGGUGUACUGGAAUGAUCACAUUCGUUCUCCCAAAGAGCAUGGCAGUGCUCUUCAUCAAAGUUUUUGCAAGUUUUCCUUGUUUUCAAGUUUUUCCCUAUUUGCAAUACACUUUAAAGAAUUCCAUGAGUUUUGCCAACAAGUUAAGUCAAAAACAUGCAAAAACAAGGCUAAACCUCAUAAAAUAUCUCACAAAUACUGGUUUAUUAGUCAUGCAUAUUUAUGCAAGACCAUGAUUUGAGAUGAGAACAACGCUUUAGAGGAAAUGAAGCAUGGUUGUGCUUCAUGUUGCAUGGUCGUGCAUUCCCUAAAGAGUGUGAAUCAAACUUAGGUGCCUUCAUAAGAAAUGCAAUCCUAGUAGCUAACCGAUAACUUUUGUCUCACCCAAAAAUAAGGUCCUUAGCUCAAGAUAUCAUAAUGUUUAUGAGCAAAUUUUGAGCUAUAAAAAUUACAUAGCUAUUUUAUGUUCCUUCUAAAUUUUAGUAUAGUAAAUUUUCAAACCAAUUUUUGAGGUCAACAUAUAAGUUGUAGUUAACUGUCUUAGCUUUCAAACUAGAUAAGAAUCAAAUUGAUAAAGUUAGUAUAAAUCUAGAAAUCGCCUUUUCAAUCUACAGUAGUCAUAGAUGUGUAACAGGAAAGGAGUGAGAUAACACUCAAAACUUAAGAAUUGUUAUUCUAAUUGGCUGUGAGUGUGACAUGUAUGUGAUAUGCAUGAGAUAAUUGAUUUGACUAUAUGUCAUUGUGAGAUGAAUGACUUAGUCUAUGAGAUUGAAAAAUUAGGCUUGGAUGGUAUCUAUAUAGUGAGUGACCUAAUUAAUCUAUGAGGGGCAAGGAUGCGCUCACUUCUGUGUGAUGGGACGUCUAAAGGGAUUAGUGUUGCAUCGGGAUGUGACAUGCAUCAUUUUCAUAGAGUCUCAAGUUGAUGUGAAAUAGAUAUGAGAUAGAUGGUGGAGGUUAUGACAACUUGAAUCUUAAGGGUUUUAGAGACCUAAUGUGGAAACCCCAUUAGCCCAUGUUAAGCCCAAAGGACUAAGGUCAAAAGUUGGGUAACCCUGCUAGUCAUUGAGUGGAUAUCAUUCUAGUGUAGUGCAAUAUAUAUUGAAGGCACUGACAUCAAUGAAGCAUCUUAUGGGUAGACAUAAAUGUACUAGAUUCAAGAGUUAGAGUUGGCACCACAUGACAUAUGGAAGUUCGGAUUACAUUGCACAUGGCAUGUAUACAAUUUUUAGUGAUUGCUGAUAAGCCUUUAUGUGAUUUUCAAUUGUUAAGGGAGUGUAUUUAUAUAUGUGUAAGAGUAUGCAUGCACUUGUGCUUUACCUAUUGUUAAUGUUAUACUAUAAGCAUGAUGUGAAAACAUAUUCUCACCCCUUGCUUUUGUUGUUCUUUGCUUGUAUGUGUUUAGGUUGAAUGUCAUUUGCAUGUAAUGUACUUCUGAAUAUUGAGUAGGAUGAUGGAGGAGCAACUUAUUUAUUUAUUUAUUUACAGUUGUUAUGUUUUCCUUUCAUAGGAUAGUAAGGUCUAACUAUUGUGACAUCAAGGAAUGGGAACUUCUAUAUUUUUAACUAAUUUUUUUAUAUUGCUUUCAUUUGAGAUGUAUGGCUUUUAAAGUGUCAAAUUUUAUAUAUUAAUUAAUGUUUUUGUUUAUGAAGCAUAUUAAAUUUGGAGUUAAAUUUGAGACAAUGAGAUAUGGACAUUGCUUCCAUAGACCACCUUAAUAGGUGGUCUAUUAUGGAUCAUUAAUGGUGGCCUUUAGAUUGAUCUAAUAUUCAUAGUGUUACGGUGUACCUCUGCAUAAUAGUACUACCUAUUUCUUUAUCCUCAACAACUACUACUUCCCUCUCAAGAGAAGUGCGAAAUGGGAUAUGAGAUUUGAGGGGUUUUAAUUUGUUUAAAUAUAUAAGAAGUGCAAAAUGAGAUUUGAGAUCUCUCAAACUCUUUUUAGAUUUGAGAUAUGAAACCCAUUUUUAUGUGAAGGUGCACUCAUAGGGGUGUGACACGCUGAAGGUGUGUUGCACGAAGGUCACAGUGAAGACAUUAAACUCGUUUCCAGAUUUAAAGAACGCGGAUGUACUCAAUCAGACAAGGUACCUCUCUUUUAAUUAAUUUGGUUAGGGUUUUCUUUAAUUAUCUUUCAAUACUCUGUUCAGCAAUGAGGUACCUCUCUUUCUCUUACUCUCUUGGCUCAUUCUCAAUUUCCACUCUAUACUUUUUUACAUUUUGUUCUGUAGAUUUAUUUGGUUUAGCUAUUGAAUUUUCUUCUUAUUUUUUUUCUAAACAAUUAGACAGGAUGAAUCUUGAGAACCAAUUACAUAUUCUACAAGAGAGAACUAAUAAAGAGGGUGUUAAUUCUAUAGUACAAAAAUUGGUUUUAUUAAUGAUGCCCUUGUAGGUGAAUUGUUUGUUUCAAUUUAUGUAAAAUUCUAUUUUACAUACUUGCAGUGUAGUGUAAUAUUUUUCAAUACUAAAAAUUUGGUUUGUUGUGGGUAUGCUUACUUGUGUGGUACUUUGGUCUUCUAUUUUUCAUUAUUCACCAAUUUUCAGUUAUCCAACUACCUUGGAUUCAGUGUUGUCUUGAAAUUAUCACUAUUAUACUCACAUUGCUACUUUCAUAGUUUAAUUUCAAAUUUGUGAUGGCAUGCUUAUGAUAAUAUAGAAUAUGAAUUUCAGGAGAAUAUUCUGUUGUGAUAAAGGAGAGUUGGAAACCUUCAGGAAUGAAGGGUGUGUUUAUAAUAAAAAAGAAUUCUAUUUUUUAUUUAUUUUUUAAAAUAUGGAAAAAGGAUAUUAAACAUGUUCUAGUUAUUGGUUAUUGCAACUAUUAUGCUCACAACACAGUAUUAUUUUUUUAGUAAAGAACCAAUAUAAUAACAAUGGUGUACAUACUUAACAACUUUUUUUCUUGUUCAUUUGUCCUUGGAAGUUCUUUUAUUGAUAAUUAGAUCUUUAUAGUGUGUUUGGAAAUCUCAUUGGCAUGUGAAAGUUGUAACUAUCAACUUCUAAACCCCAUCUGGGAUAUGGAACCAAAUCUCAUUUCGAUAACUAAAUUGCUUUUAACGCUCUCAUGUAUUCUGCAAUUAGUCACAAAAUGCACCAUCAAAACCAUGAACACAUUGAGAAAGAUGAGUGAUGGGUUCCAGUAUUGUGACUAAUUGCUUUUGAAUCGUAACUUAAGUUUGUAUGGCUACAUGAUUUGGUAUUUCUGAAAAAGAAGCAUAACUUAAUUUUUUGUGCUUCUAAUUAAAAUGUAUUCUUACUUAGGGACUUUUCACUACUACAAUCUACAACACAAACCCAUUUUCUUGUUUCUUUCUUGCAUUAGUGUCUAUCUACUAUAUAGAUGCCUUCAUUCUUGUUACAUAUUUGCAUUUGUAGCACUAGUAGAUAUAAAGUAGACGGAUACUUGUAUAAUUUUGUUGAUGAGCCUAAGAUACUGAUAACUGAAAAAUGGAACGAGGCUAUGAAUUAUCAACUUUAUGACUAAGAGGAGAACCACGUACUUCUAGGUAAUGAGCUGAAAGAGAUUUGUUAUUCAACUUUUGUCACUAUUACACCAGUUUUUGUUGAUUAUAAAUAUGCUAUGCUAUGACUUAAUAGCAAGCCACUUUAUUUUAUAUAUUGUCAUUUUAACUCUUCCCAAAAUUCCAGUAAAGACUAGUGACAUAUCCAAAAUUGUUUGUGUAAGCAUAUAUAUCAUACUUAAAAAUAUACUUUUAAUAGUUUUGUACACUUAUUAGUUUUUAUGCAUUGAAUAAAUAUUUUUUUAGAAGGUGUCGAGGUCUGUUUUGAAUUUAUAGGUUGGGUUCAUUGUGAAACAAAAUAAAUAUUAAAAAAUGCACUUAACUUCAUCCGUUGUGCCUGCAACCGAUGUAGAAAGUACCUUUACAACAUCAAUUUUGAGCAAAACCAAUGAUGUAAGAAGGUUCUUUAACAUCGAUUUUUGAACCGUCGUCAAAAGUUGUCCACUUUCAAUAAUGGUCAAUUCAACAUUGGUUCUAAACCAAUGUUAAAAUCCUCCAAAAUCGAUGUUGAAAGCUUUUUUUUAGUAGCGGAGGAAACAAAAAAAAGGAACUGUGAGAAAGGAUGGGAAAGAGAAAAUGUUUCAAUGUGGGAGAAUGUAUGAUAAUACUAUACAAAUUGAUGUAUAUAUAUAACGACUAUAAAGAGUGAUGCAUAAUGAACCACUUGACUAAGUGGUCUAUGCUAGAAUUUGCCAUGAGAUAUAUGUGAUUUCUUUUACCGCGAAGAGAAGUUCUCAAAGAAAAUUAACCUUAUUUAUUUUUCGCAACAUUUUUAUUUAUUAAUUAGCUAUGGGGUAAAAGGUGUCAUCAUUAAAAUCUUAAAAUGAUAUAAGAUGGCACUUGAAAAGAAAUAAAAAUAUUGUUAGGAGUUAAACACAACUCAAUCCAAAAGACUAGCAUAUUAGGUGGAAGAGCCUUAUAGUUUAAGGGUACCACAUCAAGUAUUUAUUAUUCUCAAUGUGGGACUACUAACACUCUCACACCCUUUAAGAGUCGAUAUUCACAACAGGUUUUACUCUAUUAACACUGACCGAUGGUAACCCUUUAUGCUUUGAUGACUUCACUCAAGUAUUAGUAUCAAUUUGGUACCUUAAUCUAAAUUAUAGAUAAUCCUUUUUGUAGUUUAAUUUUUAAUGAAAACAACAAUUAUUAAGACUUAAGUAAAUGAACAAAACCCAAUUCUGAUCCAUUGACUAGUUCAUUAUGUGACAAAGUCUCAUACAUGAUUUAUGUACCACAUCAAAUAAUUUAUUUUUCUCAACAGAAGACUCCAAACAUUAUCACCCAUGUUAAGACCCCUUUGAUCCCUCAAAUACUCCCAAUAGUACAAUACGAGAUAUAAUGGGUCCAUAAUGCGGGAGAUUACUAACUCCCAGGACUCUAAACAUACCCAUGUUUACCUUAAUCAGGUACACAUAAUUAAUUUUCAUACUUAAUUAUCACUUUUAAAAAUUCUAAAUUGAGUGUCAUUCUCUACCGAUACACUACAACCCUCUUUGUUGCACCACCAGACAGUAUAUAUUUGGAUUCACACAUGGGACCUCCAUUAUGAUCAAGAAUUAGCUAGCACCAUUAUUUAUCCCCAUGACACAUUCGAUACGCUCCAACGGUUGAUAAUCCUCUCGUCCGUAUAGAUUAUAAGUAAUAAAAAAAAUCUUGAUAAAAAAUCAGUAACAAAAAACCACCAAUUCUGCUUUCGUUAUAGAAGAAGAAGUCUACUUAAUUAAUUAAGGGAAGGACUUGUUUUUGGAUCAAAGAAAAUAGCCAGAAUGGAAAGCUGUCAUAUGUGGAACGGAACCAGAAUCUUGUGAAGGUAUAAUAUGUAUGUUAAAAUUCAAUUAAAUAGAGACUGCAUGGACUAUUACGUGGAGGCUGCAUGAUAUAUAUUAAUGUGGCCUCUCUUGUCCUGGUUCUCUCUAUUAUAUUACGUCCAUGGUAUUGGUUUUUUUAUUCAAUUCUCUUUAGCUAAGGGUGUAUUACAUGCCGGAAGGGGGUCUUAUAUAUAUUUUAGUUAUUCCACUGGUGCACCUCUUGCCGAUAUUAAGUUAAUUAUUCUUGGAUUCUUUUGCUACUCGGUUUUCAAUAAUUUUUUUUGUUAUAUAAAAAAGUUCUCGUAUAUAUAGAGAGAACCUUAUCUAACCUAGCUCAAUUUUUGCUACGAUGUCAAACUUAAAUUCAAUGUAAAAUUAAUUAAUAUCACGAAACACCAAGAUCACCGAAACUAUUAAGCCUCCGGAAUAUCUGCAUACCUGUGCAUGUGAAAGUUAUAUGGAGUCCAAAAUAGGAGAAGCAAACUAACUACACGAAUAUGCUCCCUUGUCAAAACGACAAAUGAAUAACAACAAAAUUAACCAAUCAAUCUGCUUUAUAUAGCGAAAGACCACACAAACCUAACAGCCUCGAAAUUUUUUCCUCUUUGGAUGCAAUUGGAAUGAUUAAUCUUAUCACAGAUAUUUGAUAUAUAUAGGUUGAGUACCCCAUUACUCUCUCUUAAUAAAUUCCUUUUCCUUAUAUAAAUAAAAAAAGAAGUAUAGUUAACGCCAAACAUAUAUUGUGGAUUAAUGAUGCGCGCACGAUAGUUAUGUAUCAUGAUGCUUAUGAAGUUGGUGGGUUAACAAUUGUUCCUACAUAUGACACCAAAUGUUCAGUACCAACCCAAAAGAUGGAAUUUUUUAUGUAACUCAAGUUGAUCUCACCUUGAACCUCUCAAACCUUCCACUCUGAACAGGGUGUGGAUAUUAGAUAUGAUCAUAUGAAAUGCAUGAAUGUUUACCUCUCUUCUUCCUUUCUAUCCUUUUAUAUAUACUCAAUGUUUCACUCCGUUAUUUAGUUGUGUAAUCCAUAUGUGUGCAUGCUAGGUAUACCUUCUGUAUCUCGAGAUUUGCAGGUUCUGUUACGAUUUUUCUCAAUCCUUCUUUGGGUAUUUUGCACCUUCUUAUUCUUAUUUAGACAUGUAAUUUAAUUAGACACGUAAUUCUCAAUCCUUCUUAUUCUUAUUUUAAAAAAAAGUUAAUUGAGAUGUGUUUAAAAUUUGUAAUAAUACUUAAAAAACGCUUUAAUAUUAGAGAUGUAACUCAUGUAAGUAUGUUUUAAAAGUUUAAUUCCUUAAAAUAAAAGUUUACUAAAUUAUGAUCAAACCAUCGAUCUAAAAUAAAAAAUUCAAUUGUUUAAAUUUUAUGAUGUAUGUAUAACAUUUUAGUUUAAUUUUCACAUAUUGUAAUGUUAAUGUAAAAAUUUAUAUUAUCAAUUAAUAAAAACCAUGUUAAAUAUCACUUUUAAAUUAAUUAUUAAAAAGUGAAUAGUCUUAUAAUACAUAAUAAUGACACAUUUUUUUGUAUAGUAAUUAUCUUUUUGGUACGGGUGAUACGGCACAUUUAGUUUAGUUUCUAAUUAAAUUCAUACUAUUUGUUUUCUCUGAGAAAGUAUUUGACACGACACAGCCGUUUGCAUUUCUCUUUAGUUGAACUUAAAUACCACAGUCAAUGUUGAAAGUUCUCGACAUGAUAGUUUGAUGUUACGUAUUAACCCUGGCCGACACUAUGGUUAGGCAAAAGGAGGGGAAAUUAAUUAAUAUAUUAAAUUGGACUACAUACUACUUUUUAAAAAAGAAAAAAAAAAUUGCCCUCCCCACAUGGAGAAACUCUUCAUUUUCACAAACUAAAUAGAUAAUUAUCUAACAACUCCUAGUGUCAGAAAGUUUAUGACUAUGCAAGUAUAAAGAAGGUUCAUUCAGCGUUAUGCUUGUAUAUGUAAAGAGGUUAUUUUUCCAUUUAAACUAUGAUCAACCAAACCAAAUUGCAACUUUACAAUUAUCUUUGUGGCAGGGCUCACUCUCAUCACGAACUAAAUAGAUAAAAUAUAUUAAAAAAGUCAUACAUACUUUUUUAUGAAAUAAAUAAAAUAUUAUCUACCUCUUUUACGUCAAAGUAUUAUUUACAUUAUAUAUAUAUAUAUAUAUAUAUUUCCUUUUUACCGAUUAACAUCCAAAUCUUUCUUCCUUUGAGGUUUAAAUCUAACAUUUCAUGCAAACUAUCCAAAAUUUUCACUAUUAGACUGAUUUUAGUGCCAUGUCAGAAUUAAUUUCUAGUCAAAUUAAAUUAAUGAGGGAAUGGGUUUAAAUUUUAAACACCAAAUGGUAACGAAGGAUAUAUAUACACUAGAAAGCCACUAAUUCUAAAGCAUCUUUACAUCACCUUUACGAAUUAGGAUUACCUUCAUCACGGGCUGAAUAUAACCCGAUUUCCACUUGUCACUACAUGUCAAAAAUGUCCUCUUACACAGCAUUGCUUUUUUCUUAUUCCCCUUGUCCAUGAAAAAUUGAAAUCGUAGUUUUGGCCCUCUUUUUUCACAAUUUUUUUUGUCACUGUGAUCGACUUUGUCCGUGAAUCCAAGCUGAACGAGAGAAGCUCAUUCACUCUGCCACACCGUGGGCCCCACCUAUAUAUCCUGAACGAUUUUUCGGUCCUUGAAGUCAAUGAUUCAUCGCAAAAAAUGAAUAAUUUAAUUCCAAUUGUUAGGAGUUAGAUUUAGAUUUAGAUUGAUUGAUUGAUUGCCACAACUCUUGUCCGUGAUCAUUAAGACUCACGAGAAAGAAAGAGAAAAAAACUAGGGUUGGAUCAUGAUAUAAAGGCCCCUCAUUGUAUCUUCACUACUCAAACAUAUAUUCCCCCUUUCCCUAGUUUAGCUACUUACCUCAAUCUUUCUCAUGGGAAAGUUUGCCCUAGCCAAUAUCCUCUUGGUCCUUCUCUUGAACUUGAGCACUUUGCUCAAUGUUCUUGCUUGUCCCUAUUGCCCUUACCCUUCUCCCAAGCCUCCAAAAAAGCCUCCCGUUGUGAAACCACCGGUUCACAAACCACCAAAACCAUGUCCACCACCCAAGUCAUCUCCAAAACCACCCCAUGUACACCCUCCCUAUGUUCCAAAACCUCCUCACUACCCUAAACCACCAGUUCAUCCACAUCCACCCCAUGUCCCAAAACCUCAUCCAAAGCCUCCAGUGCAUCCCCAUCCACCUUAUGUCCCAAAACCACCAGUUGUGCCAGUUACACCACCAUAUGUUCCAAAACCACCAAUUGUGAACCCUCCCUAUGUCCCAAAACCGCCUGUUGUGCCAGUUACACCACCUUAUAUCCCUAAACCACCAGUUGUGACACCACCAUAUGUCCCUAAACCACCAGUGGUGCCAGUUACACCACCAUAUGUCCCUAAACCACCAGUGGUGCCAGUUACACCACCUUAUGUGCCAAAACCACCCAUUGUGAAACCACCAAUUGUUUAUCCACCAGUUGUGCCAAAACCACCAAUUGUUACACCACCUUAUGUGCCAAAACCACCCAUUGUGAAACCACCAAUUGUUUAUCCACCAGUUGUGCCAAAACCACCAAUUGUUACACCACCUUAUGUGCCAAAACCACCCAUUGUGAAACCACCAAUUGUUUAUCCACCAGUUGUGCCAACACCACCUAUUGUGUAUCCACCUGUUGUACCAACUCCACCGGUGGUUACUCCACCCGUGGUUACACCACCAAGUCCUCCAAGUGAAACACCAUGUCCACCACCACCACCACCAGUGGUGCCAUACCCACCACCAGCACAACCAACAUGCCCCAUCGACACCCUAAAACUGGGGGCAUGUGUGGAUGUGCUUGGUGGCCUCAUACACAUUGGCAUAGGCAGCAGUGCCCAGCAGACCU
rnacentral:lncRNA from 1 species